rnacentral:lncRNA from 1 species
GGACAUGUCAGCGACAUAUGCCUCACUUAUUCACUCUCCUUUUUAAGUACAACAUUAUAAUUUAUCGUAUUUUCUUAGAAGACAAACACAAAAGAAUAUGGCAACUCCAAAUUAUCAACAAUCCAAACUUUCAGCAAUUUUAAUUUGUAGCCCUAAAAGAACAAUCCAAAUGUCAAAUCUAGCUUCACUAUAAUAGGCAACAAUAACACUAAGAGAUGACAACAAAUCCAAAUAUCAGUCUAAAGCUUUUUCUUUAAGCAAAAUUGAGACAUUAUAAAACAAAUAAAAAUCAAUAAACCUACAACUAAACUAAUUAACUAAUUUAAAAAAAAUUCACUCGAAUAACAACGAGACUAAGUUUGUGAAUGGCGACGUUGUUGGUGCAGUAUCCGGUGCCAAGAUUGGUUUACUUGUAUGACGUGCAAUGGUGAGAAUGGUUGCUAGUGUUGUGUCUAAUAACGAGACUGGUGGCUAGUGCGGUGUGCGGUGACGAGAUUGUUGCUAGUGUGUGGUAGCGAGACUAUUGGUUGUUGGUACUUGGUAUCGUGGUGAGACUGAAAAUAUGAAGAGGAGACAGUGGUCGAUUCAGUAGGAUUGAGCAAAUGGAUGGCGGCUUCCGCCGGUGUUUCUUAUUGCAUCGACGGUCAACAAAGCAAGCCAGAAGAGAGAGAAAGGUAAACAGUGAAGAGAACAAACCAGAUUUUUUGAGUUUGAUUUUGAAAAAGAUAAAGAAAAAAUAAAUCUUUUCAUUAUGGAUAUGUGAAGUAAAAGAAGGAUGUUGAUGAAGAUAAGUGGCUCUAGUUUGAAAAGUUAAAAGAGGAGAAGAUAAGAUCUUAAAAGAGAGAAAGAGAGGGAUAAGGUGAAAAGAGGAAGAGAGAAAAAGAGAAAGAAAACUAGAGAAGAAAGAAAGAAAGAUAAUAGAGAAUAAGUGAGAAGUAGGACACAUGAUGAAUGAUGUGUAUCUUUUAUUUUAAAAAAAAUAUCUUUUUUAACAGGUAGACUGAUAUAUCAUUUUUCGAUUAUAGUAUUUAAUAGAUAAUCACAAGGAGUAUUUUGACAUUAAAAUCAAAAUUUAGGAAGUUUAAUGUUACAAAUUAAAAAUUAGGGACUUUAGUGAUAUUAGGCUUAAAAUUUAGGGACGGCGAAGGCAAGUUAGCUAUGUAUAUUUAAGGACCUAACCGAUUAUAUUUCUUUUGAGUGUAUGGUUUUUCUUUUUUUUUUUGUUAGGACUUAAUUUUUUUGAAAAAUUAGAUGAAAUAAAGAAAAAGAUAAAAUUUGAAGGAUUUGAUAAGAGUUGCCACAAGUGAUUUUCUUUUUCCCUUUUUCUUUUCAAUUUGGAUGUGGAAAAUAUUUUCCAUGUAGAAACUUGUUGGUUGUUUCAAUUUAAUUUUAAAGCUCCAAGUUAUUCAAAAUAAAAAGCAAUAUGUUUUCAGCUGUUAAGUUUGUUAGUAGAUGGAAACCAGAGGUGACAGUAAUUGUCGAUGGUGAUGGAGAGUUUUGGUUAUGAUGGAUGAUGAUGGCGAGCAAUGGCAAUCGUCGAUGAACAUUGGUAAGAGCAACAGUGAUGAUGGAUGGUGGAAAGCUUCUUUUUUUUUUUUUUUUAAUUUCUAACAAAAAUAAUAAAUUUAUUCUAAAAAUAAUUAAAUUAGCAUAAAUUUAUUUAAUAUAUUUUUUAAUGUAAACAACACGUCUAAUAUUUCACUGUAGUAUAGACUGAAUUGGACCGAUAAAUUAAAGAUUUGGGACCAAUUUGCUGAAAUAGUUUAAAUUUGUCUUAUUUGACCUCUUAACAUAAGUUUUGGAGCUGAACCGACCUUUUGUCUAAAAAUUUUCUCUUAUACACUAAAUUAACAGAUGAUUGACACGUAUGUAUUAAUUUUAAUUAAUAGAAUAUAUCAUCUAAUACUAAAGUGUAAAACUUUACUAUAUAUCACCUUUUUACUAGUUAUGAAUGAGAAAUUAAUCCAUAUUUAUUAGGAAUGAGAAAUUUUCGAGACAGAUAUAGAAGAAGAAUGUGAAUUUCUUUUUUUUUUUUCUUUUAAUAUUUUAAAAUUAUUUUAUAACAAUGUAUUAUACAUAUUUAUACUAAAUUUUAUCUAUUCUUAGUUAAUAUUUGAAAAAAAUAACAGAAUUUAGUAUUCCAUGAUAGAACUUUUGAAGAAAAGAUAUUUUAAAUAUUUUAUAUCUUUCAUUGGUUGCUUGACAUCAUUCUCCAAGAGCGUAGCCAAUUCAAAGCAGAGGAAAUGAGAAGGCUGCAAUUCUUUUCCAGGAGAAGAGAUUAAAUAGCCAUACAACUUAGGGUAGAUCUUACUUAUUAUUUCCCUUAAUUUGAAUGUCAUAAGGAGUUGACGAACAUAUUGGCAUUAGCACAUUGGAUUAUUAUAUAUGGGAACACUGAGCAGGCUUACCUGUAUGCUUUAUUAUACAUCUGUAUUGUGAAAUAGACUAUUUUCUGAUUCAUGCGUCAUUUAAUCCCAUGCCUUUUCAAUACCCUUUUGUUACAAGUUUUCAUGAAGAUUAAAUAAAAAUAACCUUCUUGCUCCACUACAAUCUAAAAUAUCUUCAAUUUAAUUUUGGUUCAAAAAAAUUCAAUAAUUGUUUAUAUAGUUAAGUGGUGAAUUAGAAUAAUGAUUAUAAUAUUAAAAACACCCACUCAUAGGUGAAAUAUCAAAAAUUUCAUAUCUAACUCAAAUCCACAUCUUAUUUUUUUUUUUGAUAGAAAUUAUGAAUCUUUAUAAAAUAAAAAGUAGAAUUCGAUCAGUAAUAAAAAUAAAAAUCACUAUAAUUAAGAAAUAUAAAAGAAGAAAUUUGCACUUGAAUAGUAAAAAUUUGUGUUCAUGUUCUUAAAUCAUUUUGACAAAUUGACUCUUUGAUCUUUAAAUGAGUACGAUUGCAAAAGCAUGAACAAAAGAAUUCUUACUAUUACUAUUGUAACUCUAUGAAAUUCUAUGAAUACAUCUAUAAUGGAAGAUUUAAAUUUCAUGAAAGGUAUAACCAAAAGUUUCACAAAGGGAAUCAAAAUCUCCAUAAUAAAAGGAACAAAAAACUCCAUAAAAGGAGAAAUCAAAAAAUCUUAAUAAUAAUAAUAAUAAAAAAAACAACCAGAUUUGAAAUAUAUGUAUUUAUUGAUCAAAAUAGAAUGAUAUAAAUAAUAAAAAAAAGAACUACCACCGAUUAUCUUUUAGAUGUAAAUGAAAAACAAUAAGAAAGAAGAAAAAUAAAGAGGCGGCUAGAUUUAAUUGACCAUCUUAAAAUUCAUUUUAAAUAUUUUUUCUAUUAUUAUCCUUUUUCUUAUGCAUGUUGCAAAAAAGUUUAGCUUAUAUUUCUCACAUGUAGUUUUUCUAAAUGAAUUUAUUGAAUUAUUUAAACAUGUCAAUAACAUAAGCUUUUGAUAAUAUAAUUUUAUUGAAAGUAAAAAUUUGUACAACCAUUUUAAAAUAGGGAAUUAUUCUGAAAAUAAUAGGAUAAAUACCAAAAUAGAAAUAGCAUAUUCAAUUAUUAAGCAAGAUCGACGAUUUAUGUAUUAAUGAAAAUUUCUGUGGCUUUUUGGGUAAGUUUAAAAUGGUGGUCGAAAAGCAGAACAACUAACCUUCAUUUAGUUAACAAGCGAUCCUUGUUCUAUACAAGUUACAAGCGCUUGUUAAAAUUGGCACAAAUUAAGGAGGAGGCAAGUAGGAUAGCACAUGAAAAUUUUGCAUGCCUUUUGCUCAUUAAGACAAAUCUUUUCAUUUUCCAGGAAAAUUUACUUUUCUUCCCCCAUUGAAGAACAACAUUGGAAGUAUUCGAAAAGUUUUUGAUAUCCUGAUAUUAGCUAGUAUUUCUUUGCAGUCUUGUAUAAACCCAAGUACAAUAUCAGGGACACAAGAGGCUCUGUGUUUGGACAAGAUUUCAUAACAUAGUCAAUGAUAAGGCCUCCCGUGUUUCUUAGUUCUCAGUAUGAGAAUUUAGCUAAGCAUUGAAGUUCUAUCUGUGGUUGAAGUUAUGGAUAAGAGAGCAGGGCAUCCUGUUGUCUAGUUCAUUUGAUGCAACGAAGAUGAUACAAAAAAAAAAAAUCAAUAACUGUUGAAGCACCCAAAUCAUACAAUACCUGCAUAACUCAGCAGGCAAAGACCGACAUUAAGGACCAACAGUCUUUAACUGCUGGUCAAGGCCUCAGAUAUCAAGAUCAUCACAGGCCUAGUGAGGGAAAAGGAGCAACACCUCUCCCCUAAGGGAAAAGGCUGCUUCUACCUUUCCCUGCAUAGGAAAUUACCGUUAGCUACAAGUGUAUAUAACAUGAUACACAUUUCCUUUGUAAUUCAGAAUUCUUAAUCAUCAUUUAUCAAUAAAAUCUCAGUUCUUCUACAUUCAAUUUUUCCACAUGGUAUCAGAGCAGGAUUGAUCCUGUCAUCAUCUACCCAACAAUCAGAAACUUUUUUCUUUCAUCAUGUUACAAAAUGAUCUCACCAAACUCACAAACAUUAUGUUAAAGGGGAACCAGAAUUAUUUCGAGUGGUCAAGAGCAGUUUACAUUGGUUUGGGUGGCAGGAAAAAAUUAGGGUUCAUCACAGGAACUCUAACCAAGCCAACAAUUCAAAACCCGAACCAACCAAUAAAAGAGGAGAUUGAAACCAUCGAAGAAUGGCAGAUAAACGACCAUUUGGUCAUGUCCCUCAUUACCAACACGAUGGAGCCUCAGAUUACGAGACUAUGUAUGCUUCUGGCAUCAUCACAGGCUGCGUGGGAGAAGAUGAGAAAUCUGUAUGGACAAGAGCACAACUUCGCACACAUUUUCAGUCUAAAACAAGAACCAGCACACAUCAAGCAAGGAACCAGGUCCAGCGCAAGCUACGCGACCGAAGUACUAACCCGGUGGGAGGAAUUACAGAGUUACCUUCCACCCACAACAGACCCUGAUCAAGCUCGCAAGCGAUAGGAACAGGACUUAGUGUACACUUACCUCGGCGGGCUCGAUAUGAGCUACGAAGCUCUCCGGUCCCAAAUACUUCUCUCAAGCAGCCUCCCUCCGCUCGACGCCGUCAUAGCACUCGUACAGUAAGAAGAAACUCGCCGCAUCACCAUGGGAGCAUCGAACCCCGACGAGAAUGAAGGCCGAGCCUUCGCUGCACUCUCAGGAGACCAAGCCCGAGGCAGGGGGAUGCCCACCAACCUCGAGCGGUGUCACCACUGCAACAAGCAGGGUCACACCGCCGCUCGUUGUUGGCAGCUGCACCCCAACCUUCGGCCGGCGCAACACCGAGGUGAGCGAGGAAGAGGGCGGCGCGAGAGGGAAGAAAUGAGAGGGGAAAAUAGAAUGGGUGUCGUGGGAUUAAGUGUGUCUAACCCUACGGGUUAUGACACACUUGUCGGGUCAGGAGGACCCAUUAAUGCCCCGAUCCGACCCGACAAGCGACCCGGCCGCAGCAUUUGGGCUAGCCCAGCCCAGCUUCGUCCGGCCCAACCCAGCAGCAGCCAUUGGUAUGGUCCGGCCCAUUCCAGCAACAGCUUCUGGGCCAGUCUGGCCCAGCCCAGCAGCAGCCAGUGGCCCGACCCAGCCCAGUCUAGCAACAGCUCCUGGGCCAGUCCGGCCCAAACCAGCCACAGUGAGCCUACACAACCCGGAUCCGGCCCAGUUGACAAUUCCCAACUCUCACUCCUAAUUUCUCAGCUGCAGUCCAUGUUACAGUCUCAGCAAUCCCGUGGGUCAGGUUUAGUAUCUCACAAUUACACAGAUUUUUUACUUGCAUAUUCUGAUUGGAUUAUUGAUUCUGAGGCGACCGAUCACAUGACUUGGGAUUCGACACAGUUGCACAAGUUUACUCUUGUGAAUUCCCAACAUGUGAUCGUUGCCAAUGGGGAUAGAGCCGAAAUUUCUGGUUUUGGCUCAUCCACCCUUUUGAAUCAACCUAUACCAAAUAUCCUUCUUUUACCUAAUUUUAAAUCGAAUUUAUUAUCUGUUGGUAAAAUAACUCAGACUUUAAAUUGCAAUGUUAUUUUCUCACCAUCUGAUGUGACUUUUCAGGAUCGAAUCACCGGGAAGACGAUUGGUGAAUGAUACCUUCACAAUGGUCUAUACUAUCUUACCACUCCCAGUCAGUGUCUGACCACAACCAAACCUUCCAACCAAGGCUUGUUGAUGCAUUGUCGGUUUGGGCAUCCGUCAGACAAAAUUUUGAAUCACCUCUUCCAUCUUAAAAUAGACUCCAGUUGUUGUGAUGUUUGUAAAUUUUCCAAGCACACUAGAUUACCUUUUCCAUCGUCGUCUACUAAAUCAGAAAAAUUAUUUGAUUUAAUCCACUCUGAUGUUUGGGGACCCGCCCCCGUUACCUCCUAUAAUCACUUCCGCUACUUUGUCACUUUUAUUGACGAUUACUCCAAAAUUACUUGGGUCUAUUUAUUAAAAGGGAAAAAUGACGUUUUUACAUGUUUUCUUAAUUUUUAUACCUUUAUUAAAAACCAGUACAAUGCCAAAAUUAAAAUCUUCCGUUCAGACAAUGGUAUUGAAUACAUCAACAAAAAAUUUUCUGCAUUUUUUUCCUAAGAAGGUAUUCUGCACCAAACUACCUGCAUCUAUACCCCUGAACAGAAUGAGGUUUCAGAAAGGAAAAAUAGACAUCUUCUUGAAGUUACUCGUACUCUCCUUUUUCAAAACAAUGUUUCCCACAUUUUUUGGUCGGAUGCCCUCUUCACUGCAGCAUAUCUCAUCAAUCGGCUUCCCAGCUCCAUUCUUAACAACCUUAGCCCCUUAGAACUCCUCAAACAAAGAAAAAUCGAUCUAGGUCAUAUUCGAGUAUUUGGCUGCACUGCCUUUGUCCACAUUAGACGUCACCAUAAAUUGGAAAAAAGUUGUAUCAAAACCAUCUUCCUUAGAUACUCCUCAGAAAAAAAGGGCUACAAAUGUUAUGAUCCUACUACUUACAAAUCCUACAUUUCCCGAGAUGUGACCUUUAACGAAACCAUCCCUUACUUUCCUAAUGAUCCCUCUCUUCCCACAACACCCCCAACCGACUUGUUUCCUUCUAAUUUUUUCUUCUUUGACAGCAUACUUCAGGACACUCUCUCUACACAGGAGCGCACUCAUAUGCCUGUCAUCGGCCCUAACCCUUCAGGGGGAGAUACGUCCAUUCCCAUGGCAACUUCUUCAGGGGGAAAUCAUGAGUCACCAACAGAAGAACUUGCCCUGCGGAGAUCCACUAGACCUACCAUACCUCCUGCUCGGCUAAAGGACUAUGUGUCCAGUUCGGUAUCAUAUCUGAUUCAUCACUAUAUCAGUUAUACUUCAGUAUCACCUUCCUAUAAGGCUUAUUUAAACACUCACAUCCCACACAGAGCCCACCUCCUUCUAUGACGCUAACACCAAUCCUAAUUGGUGUAAGGCUAUGCAAGAGGAACUCUAGGCUCUGGAAAAAAAUGAAACAUGGGAUCUUGUUACCCAACUAUCAAAUAAAAAACCAGUUGGCUGUAAAUGGGUAUAUAAGAUCAAAUAUAAGCAUGAUGGUACCAUUGAAAGGUACAAAGCCCGGCUAGUAGCAAAGGGUUUUACCCAAACUUAUGGUGUAGAUUACCAGAAGACCUUUGCUCCAGUAGCCAAAAUGAGCACAGUCCGUAUUUUAUUGUCUGUUGCUACUAACUCAGGGUGGAGCUUAUUUCAGAUGGAUGUCAAGAAUGUUUUUCUUCAAGGGUCUCUAGCCGAAGAGGUAUACAUGAAACUUCCACCAGGCCAUACAUUAGCCUCUGAGCCUUCCCUGGUAUGUAAAUUAAAAAAGGCAAUCUACAGGCUGAAACAAUCACCAAGAGCAUGGUAUGCCAAGCUUAGUCAGUUUCUCUUAAAAAUUAAUUUCAGCAAGUGUACCUCUGACUUCUCUAUGUUUGUUAAACACACUCACACUCACACUAUAAUUAUUUUAGUAUAUGUGGAUGAUAUUAUUACAGGGAAUAGCAAUGAGAAGAUUGAGGAUGUAAAACAGGCUCUAAAGAAGGAAUUUGAUAUCAAGGAUCUCGGUCAACUAACUUACUUUCUCGGGAUAGAAAUAGCCAAAUCUCAUAAAGGACUAUUCCUAUCUCAAAGAAAGUAUGUCCUGGAUCUUCUACAAGAAACAGGAAAAAUAGGAGCCAAGCCUGUAGAUACUCCAAUGGAAACAAAAAACCGUCUCAAUCUAGAGGAUGGCGACCCUUUAAGUAACAUAGGUCACUACCAGCGAUUGGUAGGAAAAUUAAUCUACUUAACUGUCACCAGGCCUGAUAUUAGCUAUGCCGUAAGCAUGAUUAGUCAAUUUAUGCAUGCUCCCCGUACUUCCCACCUGGAUGCGGUCGACAAAAUCCUAAGAUAUCUCAAGGGUACUCCAGGCCAAGGUAUUCUAAUGAAGAAUAAUAAUAAUGCUAACACCGUUGCUGGUUUAUCCGAUGCAGAUUGGGCAGGCAGUUGCAACAGAAAAUCAACCUCUGGGUUCUGUGUCUUUGUAGGAGGAAAUCUGGUAACGUGGAAAAGCAAAAAGCAAUCAGUAACAGCAAGAUCUAGUGCUGAAGCUGAGUACCGAGCCAUAGCAUCAACAGCUAGCGAGCUUAUUUGGAUUAAGCAAGUGCUCACUGACAUGGGAGCAAAGUGCAAGGAUCCAAUGGAGAUGUACUGUGACAACAAAGCAGCCAGACACAUAGCAUCAAACCCAGUCUUUCAUGAAAGGACUAAACAUAUUGAAGUUGACUGCCACUUUAUAAGAGAAAAGGUCCAAUCAGGAGAAAUCACAACCUCGUUUGUCAGAAGCCACGAACAACUAGCAGAUGUCUUCACCAAGGCCCUAGACAAAGCAAGCCACUAAAGACUUCUAAGCAAGAUGGGUUCUAUCAACUUAUUCGAACCCACCUUGAGGGGGAGUGUUGAAGCACCCAAAUCAUACAAUACCUGCAUAACUCAGUAGGCAAAAACCGACAUUAAGGACCAACAGUCUUUAACUGCUGGUCAAGGCCUCAGAUAUCAAGAUCAUCACAGGCCUAGUGAGGGAAAAGGAGCAACACCUCUCCCCUAAAGGAAAAGGUUGCUUCUACCUUUCCCUACAUAGGAAAUUACCGUUAGCUACAAGUGUAUAUAACAGGAUACACAUUUCCUUUGUAAUUCAGAAUUCUUGAUCAUCAUUUAUCAAUAAAAUCUCAGUUCUUCUACAUUCAAUUUUUCCACAAUAACCCUAAGAAAGAACAGUUGAUGUUGGCAUGGUUAAGGCAAUGUUGAAAUCUAACGGUCAAAAAUCAAACUUUCUGAGGUUUAAUCAUUGAUUGGAAGGGAAGUUCACAAAUGAAUUAAGGAGAACCAGUGCAACUUGUUUAUACAGUUCAGAAAAAUGAAUUUACUUCAAUUUCAAACUUUCUUCUUUUCAUUUAUCUUUCUUGCGUUGUGUACGACAUAUAUUUUUGUGUUCUUAAUCACAGUCAAUGAAUACAGUAGGCAAAGAGGCAAGGGUAUUCAUGAUUUUAGAUUCAGAAUAUGAACAUUGAGUAUAUAACUAUUACCUUCAUCUUCUAUAUCCACUCUCUUUAAGACAUUAACCUAUCAAUGCUAUGCCUCAGUUUUUUUUUUUUUUUACUAUGAAAAACAGAAAAAUAAGAUGAGAAGCAGUGAUACCUUGUGUCACUAACUUCCAUCUAAUACUGAAUUUUAAUCACACCCUCAUCGCCCAAUUUGAAAAUUAAUCAGAAUGGAGUAAGAGAACCUUAACUACUGAUGUUAGGUGUAGUGGAGCAGCUACUAGCCCAUUGAGCUGUGACUGUAACUGGUGAAGGUGGCAACCGGAUAUUCUUCAACAGCAAAGCCUCAUCGCAGUAUGCGGGUGAAGGUGGUGGCGGCAUAUCUGUCAAUACUUUAUUAUCAUCAAGCACUACUUCCUGAUUCUCAUUGUGAUCCCCUAUUUCGAUGCUCUUUAAUUCCUCCAGAACUUCAUCCAUGGAAGGUCUUAAUUCCUUAUCUUGUUGCAAACAUCUAAAAGCUAACUCUGCCACUGAAAUUGUCUUUCUUUUAACUUCUUCAUCUGAAUUAUAUCCGAACGAUGGAUCAAUCAGCUCAUCAAAUGCGCAAUUUUGAAUCUUGUUUACUGCUAAAUUAGCUAAAUUAAUCUCAUGUCGAUGCCUAUUGAUAUCGACGGCAGGCAUUGACGAAAUCAAUUCAAUCAAGACAACUCCAAAGCUAUAGACAUCACUCUUAUCUGUAAGCUGAUAGCAUUGGUGAUACUCAGGAUCAACAUAGCCUGGGGUACCUUGCGGCGCAGUUGAGACAUGGGUGACAUCAUUGGGAAACAACCUGGACAAGCCGAAAUCAGCAACUUUCACACAGAAGUUGUUGUCAAGAAGAAUGUUGUUAGUUUUGACAUCCCGAUGUAUGGUAUCAGAAGCAUGAAGGUAAGCCAAAGCAGUAGCUGUUUCUAUUGCAAUGCUCAUCCGAAUAGGCCAUGUCAGCGGACUCGACUUUGAUCGAUCACCAUGGAGAUGAUCAGCAACAGUGCCAUUAGGAAUAUAUUCAUAUACAAGGAGGAGCUCACGGCUGCGGCGUGAAGUGCAUCCAUAGAGGGUGACAAGAUUUUUAUGGCGUAGGCGUGUAAGGAUUUCAAUUUCAUUUAUGAAUUGCUCGACCCUUCUGUAAUUGUGCUCAUACAGGCGCUUGACUGCAACCUCUCGUCCAUCUUUGAGUUUACCUGGUUUGAACAGAUCAAUGUGAGCCCAUUCCAACCAAGUAUUGAAGUGUUUGCAUUAAAUUUCUUUUCUUUUCUGCAUAGCAAUCACCUACUCUAGGGUAUAUGGCCUAUCUUCAGAAAUAUUAACAUCAAUAUCCUUACCAUAAUAGACAGUUCCAAAACCUCCAUCUCCAAGCUCUUUUUUGCUAUCAAAAUUACUGGUGGCUUUUUCUAGUUCAGCGUAGGAGAAGACGGAGACGCCAAAGUAGACGCUGCCCCCUUCUAGAUCUGAUCUUGAGGAGGGAGAAAAGGAAUUUGUUGAGAGGAUGUUUGACGAAGCAUUUCUUCUUCUUUUGUAGUGACUCCGAAAAAUGUAAAAGGACAACAGUAAGGCUAUUAAUCCAAUCCCUGCACCUGCAUAAAUCAAUGUAAAUUUUACUGUUAAAAAUCUCUAGUAGAGGGGUUAACAAGAAACAGGAGUCAGAAAGUUUAGCUGUUCAUAUACCUAAUCCUAAUCCUAGCUUCAAUCCCAGUCUGUUCUUUUCUGCAACAGAAUAUAAAAAGAAUCAGUGUUACCAUCAAACAAAAAAUCAAAACGCGCAGAACAAGAUGGAACCAAUAAGUAACAAUUAAACACCCGUAAAUAGUUCCUAACAUAAGUUCAUUGCAAACAGACUGCAUUUCUAUUCAUGAGUACCUAUUUAAGGAGCCAACAGAAUUCAGAAGAAAAAAGGGCGUUCUGGAGUGAGGUGGUGUAAUAUAUGCAUAUUUGUUAGAAAAUGGCAUACAGGGGAAUACGUAUGCUCCAUUCAAAGUAUACAUGUAUGUUCUUUUCGGUGUUUUUAUUUCAAAUUCCAUUACCUCUCAAGUUCGCACAAUAGAACUUUCCCUUGCUGUUAAUCUUACAUUCUCCUCCUCUAUAAUGACACCUCUUACAAGAACCAGAUACGAGCACUUCAAGUGUAAAGUCAGCAGUAACAAUUUAAAUAUUUCACUGUAACUUCCAUUCUGAUGCCUGGGAAGCUGAAUAAGUGAACACUGUGGUGGAAGACUUGGUAAAUCUUCUUGUUCACGAGUAUAAUAGAUACUAGAGUUAUUGCAUCCUCUAUACUCUAACUGGGGAGGGUCACUGAGCUUAUAGUUGCAUUUGAACAAUGUUAGAUUAUGAUUGAUACGAAAAGAGAGAAAAGGAGAGCUAGGAAGACUCAGAUUAUUGAAAGUCUCGCAGUCAUGAGACUGCAAUCUCCCCGAGAAUAUUUUGUCAUGAAUAUGGAUAGAAUUUGCCUGAGAGAUGCUUCUAAUUCCGUACCACCUUUCUCCCCUCUCCAACUGUAUUCUCUGAGUACCUUUAUCGCAACCUUUGACCACUAACAAUCCACAGUGGGCAGGAUCUGUACGGUUAGUGAAAGGGAACUUGAGCUCCCCCAACUUCCCACAGUUAAAUCGUGGGCAGCGUCCAUGGGACUGCAUUUCUUCUUUAGCAGAGUGAAACCCAAAGUGACAGAGCAAAAAGAAUAGUAAUAGAGGGACACUCGCCAUUCCCAAAGUUCCCAAUUAAAGAACACAAGAAGCUAUAGCAACACUGACAAGGAUUACUUCUUUUAGUAAAAAACGAGAUGUCUGCGUUCCUUCACAAGUUUAUCUUAAUAAUAUAAACUUCUCUUUUUUGUCAUUUAGACACGCCAGUUGACUUGGACAUUUUGACUCUGAAGACUUGAAAGAACAGACUGAGAGAAGAAAAGAAAGGGCUGGUGAGAAUUCAGAAAAUUCCACCAUUUUGUGCAUUCAGAAACUUUGAUUGUUCAACCCAUUUCCAGCCCCAAAUCUCGGUUGACCAGCAUGGGCAUAUACAGUCACAGACAACUGUGUUUGACUCCUGAAAAUAUAUUCUCACAUAUCACAUGAGGAAUAACCAUGGAAGAUGAAGAAGAAUUGGCAUCUCCUUGAGGAGAAGUUGACAACGACACGAAUAAUGGAGGUAGUGAGUGGAAUGACGCGUCUUUCCCAUUAUGGAAUGGAAGCUUUUGCGAAAGGGAUUACCAUAUCAGAAAUCAUAAUAUGCUUAAUUCCUGUACCUCAAGACAAAAUCAUAAUAUCUCUUCUCAUUUAAUUAAAGUUUUAAGUUUAAGCAUUAGACAUGAUGUUAUAUUACAACUCUUAAAAUAAUAUUUUUAUGGUCUGAAAAAAUCAUAUCACAUUCUAAAUUAGUUAAAAUAAUUCUGGAUAAAUAUAUAUAUAUAAAAAAUAUGUUUAAUUUCUUUUACAGCGAAAUCUUUAAAGAUUUUAAGAAUAAAAUGUUAAUUCCAUCCAUUAGUCAAAACUCUUAUCAGUUGAUUUUUAGGCUAAGUCUUAACUAAUGGAAUAGAGCUCUAACUAACAGUUUAGAUUAACGAUGUGCCUUUUAAAACCAUUUAAGUUUCAAGUGUGAAAGAAAUAAAGUUUAGAACCAUAUUAUAAAAGGAGCACUAGGAAUGUUGUUAUCCGUCCAACAAGCUAUGGGCUAUUAAGUGGGAAAAAGAUCUGAAAACUGAUGGAACGAGAAAAGACAUAUGGCGGGGUCACUGCGACAACAACGUAGCUUGGGGUUAUUAUCUUCCUUAGAAUAUUCAGAAACUGGAAAAAAAAAGGGGAAAAGAGAAGAUAUUGUUUCAAUCAAUGACUUUUCCCAGGAAAACAUUAUGGGUGAAAUAUUUCUUUUAAUUAUUCUUUCUUUAUUGGUUUUUAGACAUAUUGAAUUUUUAUUUACAAAAGUGACUAAAUUAAAAUAUAAUGAAAAUUACAUGAUUGAAAUGGAAUAAAUUAGAAUUUUAUGACUAAUAGAAAAUUAAAUAUAAAAUUUAAUAAUCAUUUGUAUAAUUAUCCUGGAAUUUUACAACAGCUCAGACAUUUUUAGUAUCACUGAAAUAAACAUUGAUCUAGAUAAGGAAGAUACCAAGUGCCUAAAUUGGAGAUAACGCAUUAACAAGCAAAUAUCAAUAAGUCUGCAUUUGCCUAAAUUGCCAAGUCCUUACUGUCUAGCUAAUGGAAGAGCAUAAUCUAGGAAGAAGACACAGAACACAUAAGAAUAUAUUGAAAACAAAGCCUAACCAUUGCUGCAGUUUUUGGGAUGAGAUUCAUCACACUUUUUUCCUUUCAAAUCCACAAUUUCCACCGCUUUUUCGGCACUCAGCACAAUUAUAUCCUAACCCUAUCCACUUCACAGUAAAUCCCUCCUUCAACGACUGCUUAUAAUCUUCUAUUUUUUGAUUAAUUANNNNNNNNNNNNNNNNNNNNNNNNNNNNNNNNNNNNNNNNNNNNNNNNNNNNNNNNNNNNNNNNNNNNNNNNNNNNNNNNNNNNNNNNNNNNNNNNNNNNNNNNNNNNNNNNNNNNNNNUUUAUGCUUUAGCACUGCAGGUGACUUUGAGUAUUGUGUAGUUGCAGAAAUUGAGUCAUUGCAGUUAUUGAAGAAAACAAUAUUAUCAUAGCGGGGACUAAAUCCGACAGACGAACGACCAGAAGAGUAAUUCUAGUGAGGAGCAGGGAAAGUAGAGUUUUUUAUCACUUGAACAUCAAUCAACCUAAAUGACUGGUUUCCAUAGCUGAUGUUUUUGGAUGAUGCAGUGAGCACCACAGGUCCUAUAAAUAGGCCUAUGAUGCUAGCAACGAACAUCAAAUCCUGAAUGAUUAUAAAUUUGGUUUUGUUGUGAUGGAUAUAGAGCGGAUAGCUUAAUUAUAUUAGGACCACUGCCGCAGUUUUUAUGCUUGCAGGUUUCGAAUUUUGAUUCUGAUGAUAGAACUGAUUGUAGUAAGAGGGUGCACAUGAAAAAAAAAGAUUCCUACAGGCAAUAUGAACAAGAUUUUCAGAGACAUAUAUGUGGGGAUAAGUAAAGGAGAAGGAUAAAAAGAAUUGGAGAAGUAGUCGAUAGAGGUUCCAAGCAAAUACAGAAUCAGGAAUCCACUAGUCAUCUGUAACUCUUUUCUUUCAGUUCGGAUGUUUCAAAUAAACUGGAUUGGAUUGUUUUAAGAUUCAACUCAGCCUCAUAAGAAUAACAAAUGCAGUCAACAGAAAGACAAAAACACCAAAACACAAAAUGAAAAUUAAGCUGUAGAAUUUCGACGAUAAUUGCAUAUACUUAAAAGACAACAAAAGUAAAAACAACUUGGGACUUUUCUAGUUAUUACAGGGAAGUGGGCUUGUUUCAUUUUUCUAUUCUUCUUGUGUCAGAAUGGAAGCAUAGGACUGGGAUUUUGAAGAAAUGUCUUGGCAGAACAAAGUUGCCUCUUUUAAGGGUAGUGCAGUGGGCGAGGAGUAAUAAGGAAUGGUAUCAACUCUUUGAAUUCAUGAAUUUAUGAAACUUGAUUAGGAAAUUGUGAGCAAGAGGACUAUCACAUAUUGAAUUAUCCCCUUCUGUUCAAUUGGUUAAGAGGAUGAAAAUUUAGGUAAUGAUCGCCAAUGCAACCACAUAUUACAAUUGUUUCAAUCAUUUUGCUAAUGACAUUUGAUUGGUUCUGGAUAGGCCUCUAAAAAUGCAGAAAUGGUAAGAUUAAGAUCAAAUUAAGCUAGUUGAUCAUCUCAUCAAAAUCUGAGAAAUUGGCAACAGCAAGUGCACAUCCUAAAUUAGGUUCUCUAACCCCACUUGGGCUGUUUUGACCCUUUAUAUAUAUAUAUAUAAUUAUUUUAGCUGCUUUCUGAAAUUCAAAUAUUAUUUUUGAAAAAAAAAAAAGAAAAAGACAUCAUGCUUCGCUAAAACUAAGAUUUAAAGAGAAAUAACAGUAAAAAGUUUUUAGAAAAACUUACUAAAUUGACUUACAUAUAUUCUAAAAUGUUUCCUUUCAAGAAAUACCAGGAAUAGUCUCUUAUAUUUUUAAAUUUAAUCAAAAUAAAUUAGGAUGGUUAUUCAUAAUUUCUUUUUUCUUUUGGAAGCAUAUUUUAAUUGGUGCAUUGAAAAAUUUUAAAAUCUCCAAAUUUGUGCUUUUCAAAUGACAAAGCAUACAUUCAAAUGACAAAGCAUACAUAUGGAAACUAUAUAUUACAACAUAUAAGUUGUUGGUAACAACAAAUACUCAAAUCUUUUUAAUUUUUAGUAUUUAAGAACUUCAGCUUACUAAAAAUCCUGUUGAUCUUACAUUUCUUUGUAGGCAUUGUUCAAGAAACUUAGAAAGUUAAUUAUAAAAUUUAUAGUUCUAUUAAAUAAUCAAAGUACACUUGAGAGUCAAUUCAACUUAGUUGAAAGGAUCAUAAAGAAUCUACUAUGACUUGAUCUUGAUGGCUUUCUUAAAUUCUUUUCUUUUUUCAUAGAAAAGUUAGAACUAAUUAAGAAGUAGAAGCUAAAUAAAAAAAUAAUUAUUUUUCUUUAAAAAAAUGCUCUCCUAAAUAAGGUGGCAUUGUUUUUUUAUAUAUAAAAAAAAUACAAUAAAAGAUUGGAAAUUGAAUUAUAAUUGAUAGUAUUUAAUUUUGAUAAUUGUUUUAUUGUUAGAAAAGAGUAUUUAACAUUAGAAUAACAGGGUGUGAUGGUUCAUGAUACUUGGUCCACCUAAAUCCCUUGAACUGUCAAGGAGGAUUAUAUAUUUGACUGCCGACUUCACACGCUCAGUCCCGGAAAGCCCGCCACCACUUAUCAUAUUAGGCAAUCUAAUUCAAACUUUAGAUGCUAAUCUUUUUAUUUUAUUUUCCAAUUAUAAUGUUUUUGUUCAGAUAUUGGUUUUAAAAGAUAAUUUAAUUUAUGUUUUAAUUUAAUGAUUAAGUGAAAUCACUCUAUAAAUAGUUAAAUUAUUUAAAGAAAAAAGUUAACUGAAAGAGAAAAUUUAUCAAAUAAUGAAACUUUAUAUAAUAUUUAUCUUAGGAAAAAAAAAAAAAAAAACUUAAGUAAUGGUCAGAUAAUGAAUGAUCUUCUAGACCGAAUAUUCUUAGCCUAACUUCUUUAACACCAUUGUUGAGAAAAAGGAUGUGGAGAAAGUAAAAAGGGAGAUUCUGGUUUCGGAAAUGGGAAGGAGGAAAGGAAAAGUGGGUUGAUUCUGUACAUGGGAUUUUUUGUUUUCUCAUUGUCAGGACACGGCAGGACCAGUACGUGUUCAAAAAAUGGCUUUGCCAAAUGCUAACCUGCUAAGAAAAGGUGAGAUUCAUCUAGACAGGUUAGAGAUUUUGACCUUAGUCUGUGGACGAAGCAAGGCCAGCCAGACACUCAAAUUUUGCAAAAAUACAUCACUUGCAACUUGCAAGUUCCUUAUCCAGCCAGCAAAUUAAUCCAGCACACAAAAUAGUAAUACAUACAACUGGCUCAUGACUCCAUCAAUUGACAGCAAUACCAUUUUAGAAAGAAAAUGACGUCUGGAUGAUAAAGAAAAAAAAAAUAAAGAAGAAAAGGUCCUACUAAUUUAUGGGUUUAAUAAUGUAGCAAUGAGUGAGUGUCUAUCUAUAAUAAAUUCAAUAAUGGAUUGAAAUUUUAAGAGUACUGCGAAAACUAAAAAGAAAAUUAAAGGAAUCUCACCUGGAUUACAGUCCGAAGCAUGAGGGCGGUCAGGGCAGAAACAUUUAAAAUGGUAGGUGGCGUCAUCGAAUCCACAUUUGCCUCCACUGUUUUCACAUAUGCUGCAGUUACUUGCUAUCCAAUUCAACACAAAUCCUCUUUCUAGCAUUCUCUCUAACCCAUCAGUACUAUUUCCUCCAUGAACAUCCACUGCUACCUUAACCUUAUUUUCACAUACUACUGACGCAUAACCCAGAAGAGGAUCAUCCUCAAACAUUGACAGAGUUGGACCUGUUCCAGUCUCAAUUAAGCAAUCAACCUUGUAUUUGUUAAGCUCACUGUUCCUGUUCCCUAACAGUGUUGAGUUGCACUCGUAGAGAAAGAAUAAGCCUGUCUGAUUAGACGACAACUUGAACCGAUCUUCGGGCAGUGAUGUGUUUCUAAAUGGAGGAAUACAAGUGGUUGCUGUAUCAAAAACAGCUGCGUUCGAGACGCGAACUGUCUGGGUUUUGUAGGAGAUAUGGCGAAUGACAUAUUCGUUAUCUCGUAGUUUAAGAAUUGGAUGGCCGUUAUGAUUACAAGAAAGGUCGAAUCCAGGGUAGCCACAGAAGGGUUCUUGCUGGCCUUGGAUAUAGAAUGGAAAGGUAAUAUUUUGACCAUCACCACAGGUUCUGGGAUUGCAGGCUAGGAACUGAGGAUGUAUGCAUAUGGCCUUUCUUGCAAGAAGAAAAGAAAGAACGAUGAAGAGAUUUAUCAAUGGAGAAAAGGGUGUUAACAAGAAGUUUUGGUUCAUUUUGGGGAUCUUGACAAGUGCAAAGAGCCAGGGAGACAGCAAGCAAGAGAGAGAGAGGAUGAUAAUUUUAUAUGGUAAGAGUGAGAAAGGGGAAGAGAGGAAUGGAUACGUUUGACUUGAUAUUUUUGGAUGGUUUUUGUCUCUGACAAGUUGUAGAUUAAGGGAAAGCCAAGGUUGUGCAUAUGGGCAUCCGCCUUAAAUCUUAGACUGUUGAAUUUCUUUGCUAUGGACCAAAAUGGGGGUACUCGUUAACAAUUGGGCAAAUUGACCAUUGUACCUUCUCUAUAAUUUUAAUCAUUAUAUUUCAAAUUAAGAUCUUUAUUCGCAAAUUUCUAAAUGUCAAGAAAUAGACAGUUCCAGGCUAAGUAGUUAGACUUAAAUAGCUCCAGCUUAUAUAAAAAAUUUUCGGAUAUUAAUUAUAAUAAGAAUAAAGAGUAAAAUAUGGUUAUUUAAAUGUAGAGAGUUAAUUUAAUUUUUAUUUUAUAUUUAAAAAAUAAAAAUUAUGUUGGGGGCUUAUUUAAUUGAAAGAUUCUUCAUAAUAAAAAAUUUAAUUUAUAUAAAGAGUUAUUUGAAAAUACUUAGAGCAUUCUUAAUGCUUUUUAUUUAAAGAGUAAAAUUUUUAUAAUAAAAAAUAUCUUAAAAAAUAUUUAAAUGUAAAGUGUAAACUAUUUUAUUUAAGUUCAAUAAAAUUUUUAAAAAUCUAUUAUUUUUUUAUUUUUAUUUCUAUGACCAUUAAUAGUUUUAAUUUUUUUUCCUUCUCUUUCUAAUUUUUACCAAUAGAAAAAUAAGAAUUUUAAAUAUCAAUGAAAAAUAUAUAUAUAGAAAUUUACAAUGUAUUUAUUAAAUAUAAAAUAGAAAGUGAAGUUUGGUUUUCCACAUCUAGAGAGUCUCUCUACUUUUUAUUUCAAAAAUAAAGAAUGUAUUAAAAUAUUAUUUCAUGAUAUGACUCUUUAAAAUAAAAAAUUUGACAUAUAUAAAGAGCGCAUUACAUAUGCUUUUACAAUUAGGAAUUGAUUAUUACAAUUUAAUACUAUUGAUUUCUGUUUAAUACUAAUUUUUUGGAUAUUUAUUUUUGAACUAUUACUAGACCGCAUCUAAUUUAAAUAAAUAUGAUGUUUGACCUGUGGGAGUUGAUUUAUCAUUUGACCUAAUUCUUAGAAAAAGCUUUUGUUAUAUUUAUGUAAAAAAGAUGCCUUUUAAGUUUUGCAGCCAUAAAUAUACAAGUUUGUAAUAGUUUAUAAAUAGUCACAGUUUCACAAAAAUACUUAAAAUUACACCAAUGAUUUGAUUUUUAAUUUAAAAUUGAAUUGGCUUUUACCCUUUGUAUUAAAAAAAAAACUGCAUUUUAUUAUUUAAAUAGCUCCUCCUUAACGGUAUAAGGAAAGUUCUUUGAACCAUUUUGGGCUGCCACCGGCCACUUCCUUUCUCUCCUUCUUUUUAAAUGUCUUCAUCAAAUUAUGUUAAUCAGUCAUUCUUACUUUUACGUUGAAUCAGUCAAUUCCAUUUAGCUUUAGGACUGUUCUCCCCAGUGGAAAUUUUAAAGCUUUUGGCCAUCUUUUCUGGGUGGUGAAGUCUUUGCUUUUGCUUAGAUGAACCAAAUGCUAGAGAAGUAUUAACUAAAGGUUCAACAAAUUUAUAUCUAUCAGUCUCCAAAGUCUACUUUUGGCUAAGAAUUAGGUUUACUUUCUAAUUAUGUCAUUCAAGUUCUCCAUUACUUCACAAAAAUUUCCUCUUUGGGGAAGGUUCUAAUCUGAAGUUGUUUGGAUUGUUAACCCAAGCAUGGCUGUUGCCAGGCUACUGUGAGGUAUUAAGAUGGCACAAAAUUAAUGGUCUAUUAAUUUCUUUUAAGACAAGACAGAAAUGGGAAUGUCAAAGGUAAUGAUUAAGUAGAAGAAACAUGAGCCGAUCGAAGCGACCGCAGACUUCCAUCAGAGUUUCUCUUCUUUAUUUCCUUCAAUCUUCAAAAGUUUUCAGUUAAGAAUUUUGUAAAAAUGAUAGAAAGGUCUGAAACUCCUCGUGAGUUUUCAAUGACUAUAGUCCAUAGAUUAUUAUUUAAUUUAUUGCAAUAGUCAGACUACUUUCAUAUAUUAUUUAUUAUCAUUUAAAAUGAGUACAUUUUAUGUCAUUACAAGGAAAUUUCAUUCGGUAGAAAAUAAACUCAAUGCAUACUUCCAAGUAUUCAAGUUUCAUUCAGUAGAAAAACUCAUGCAUUAAGUACGUAUUUAAACACUCAUAUACUUGUCUAUUUUAUAAAACCUCCUAAUUUUUAUAAUUCUUUUGUCUGUUUGUUUGGAUUUCAAGAGUUGAAAGAAAGAGCAAAAGAGCAUGGGAUACAAAUGGUGAAGGAGGUAGAAGAAAGAAAGAGUGGUGACCAUGGCAGAGAUGAAGACGGUGGAAGAAAGAAAGAGUGGUGACCAUGGCAGAGAUGGUGGUGGCAAAACUUUUUCUUUUAGUAGUAAAGAGAUAAAAGAAGAAAUAGAAAAUAGCAAAAGAAAUUUCUAAUUCAGAUACUAUAGUAAUUCAAUUUAGCAAUUAGAGGCACAUUUUGUCCACAUAAGUAAUGACCUAAAAAUAACCAAUUAAAAUUAUUUGUUUGAUUCUUAUUUAUAAGUUCAUACACUUCAUUGUAAUAUAUAUAUAUAUAUAUAUAUAUAUAUAUAUAUAUAUAUAUAUAUAUAUAUGCUUGUUUUUUUAUAUAUAAGAUUUUCGUUUUGACUCUUAGCUUAUAUAUAAUUUUGUGAUUUUUUUAUUAAUUUAUUAAUUAAUAGAUUACAUUUCUAGUUAAAUAAUCAUUGUAAUUCUAAAAAAUAACGUAUUAAUAAUAAAUUAAUUUUCUAAUUAGAUAAUAAUUAUUCUAAAAAAUAGCAUAUUAAUUAUAUCUUUUAAUAUUAUAUUAACUAACAAAUUAAUUUUAUAAUUAGAAAAUAAUCUUAAUUGGGGAAAAUAAUAUUUUUAAAUAUUAUAUUAAUUUUUAAUUAUAUAAUUUCUAAUUUUAAAAAAAAUGAUAAUAUCAAUUAUAUUGAUAGUAUUAAUUUAUUUAAUAUUAGAAUUAAUAAGUAAAUAUUAUAAAUAAUUUCUAUAUUAUUGCAUUAAUAAAAUUUAAGAAAUUUGAAAAAUUUAAGAAUUUAAAAAUUGAAAGAAUUUAAAAAAAUUAAAGAAUUUAAAAAAAUUAAAGAAUUUAAAAAUUUUAAAAAAUUUAAAAAAUUUAAAAAAUUUAAAAAAUUUAAAAAUUUAAAAAAUUUAAAAAAAUUUAAAAAAAUUUAAAAAUAGUUAGUUUGCUAUUAAUUUUUAAACUACUAUAAAUCAAUAUUAAAUAUUGAACUUUUUAUUAAACUGUAUCUAUAAAUUUAAUUUUAUAAUUGAAAUAAUAAUAACGGUUGUGUAAUAUAUGGGUAAUUGACUAGUAUAUAUUAGGUAAAUGAUUAGUAUAUAUUAAUUUUUGAGACUUAGAUUUUUUUAACAUAUAUGCUUAAUUUCUGACAUAUAAAAUUUUUAUUUUGACAUGUGUACUUAUUUUUGACAUGUAGAAUUCAAGUUUAUAUGUAGUUUUAUAGUUUUUUCUGUUAAUUUGUGAUUCAUAAGGUACAUUCCUAAUUAGACCCUGAAUCUAAUACUAAGAAAUAGUAUAUUAAUUAUAUUUUAAUGUUAUAUCAACUAAUAAAUAGUUUCCUAAUAAGAUAAUGAUACUAAUUUUAUAUUAAGAAAUAGUAUAUCAAUUAUAUUUUAAUAUUAUAUUAACUAAUAAAAUGAGUCUGUAAGGAGAUAAUAAUUCUAAUUCUAAAAAAUAAUAUUUUGAAUAAUAUUUAUAAUAUUAUAUUUAAUAAUAAAUUAAUUUUUUAAUUAUAUAAUAAAUUUUUAAUUUUAAAAAAUAGUAAUAUCAAUUAUAUUGACAUAUUAGUUUAUAUAAUACCAAAAUCAAUUAAUAAAUAAUUUUAUAUUAUUUCAUUAGUAAGAUUUUAAAUUUUUUUAAAUUAUGAACAUUUAAAAGUAGUUAGUUUAUUAUUAUUUUUAAAAAUUUAAAAUUAGUAUUAAAUAUUGAAAAUUUUAUUAAAUCUAUUAACUUGAUUUUAUAAUAAAAAUAAUAAUAACAGUCAUGCAACGUACGGAUAAACGACUAGUAAAAUAAAAUUUAAAUAAUUAAUUAUCAAAUCUUAAAAAGUUGAAACCCUAAGUUUUUAAUUAUUCCUAAAAUAUUAUAAAUUUAUGUAUUUUGUCAUGGCAACAAUCAAAGCCUUUAUUUUCUUAUACAAAUAAAGCAAAAUCGUUUACUAAGAAUUAGGUUGAAUGAUAAAUAAAUUAUAUCUGAAAGAUUAAUUUUCUUUAAACAUAUUGUUUAUCUACAAUCACAAAUUAAAUAUCAGAUGCAUGCACCCUAUCAAAAGCUUAAAAAUAGUGUCUAAAAAAUAUAAAAUAGCAAUCAAUAAGUUAAUUUAGGCUCAAUUGCGUUGCAUUAUGAUAUCAAUUUCAAACUCCAAUUACCGCUAAUUCAAAAAAAGAAAAUAGCGGCUAGCGGUCAUGUAUUUAGAUAGUGAAGCAACAAAUAAAGAAGAAUCACCAACACAAUGUAAUUCAACUCAACUACAAAGGAGUAUUCAUACAUAAAUUAUACAAGGAAUUUUUAAUCAGUUUAUAAAACAGAAAAUAAAGCAUGUUAUAUUAUUUGUGCAGCCAGUCUAUGAUGAGUCAGUAAUUAAUAUAAGUAGAAGUAUAAAAUAGUAUAAUUUAUUUGGUGUCACAUAAAAUCAGUGUCAUAUAUAUUUUAAGUUAUUAGAUUUGUUAAAUUUAAUCACGACAAUUGAAUCAAAAACUUACUAAUAAUAUUAUAAAUUACUCUUUUAAUGAUUAUAUGUAAUAUAAGUCUAAAAUGUAAUAUUUAUAUCUUAUUUUACUAAUUAUAUAAGUUUAAAAGAAGUUAAUAAUUUUAAUUUUGUUAAAAAUAAAAAUUUUAUGUAUCAUGUUACAUCAAAUAAUGACCUGAGUUAGAUGACACUACCAUAUCUCAAUAUCAUAAAGAUAUUAAGAGACUUAGUAAGGAGAUAACAUAAACCCAAUACUCUAUUAAUAAAUUAAAAAUGUAAGCAUUAAUAUGGAAGUAUAGUUUCUUGAAUUUCAGAAACGUUCUUAAAAUAAUAGUUUAUAAAUUGUCACAAUUUCAGAAAACUAUGUUUCGCCUAAAUUUGUUUAUGCUCUUUUUUCUCUCUCCACCGCGAAUGGUGCUGUCGCCACCAUCCUGAUCUGUCUAGAUCUACGUUUUGGUUUAAUAGCUACACGGCAAGGGAGAAUAUAUACCGCAUUUAAUUACAUGUGAGAACUGAAUUGCUCUGUUCAUUUGUAGUUGAAGAAUUUGCUAAUAGUUGUGGAGGGGAUCUUGACGGGGAAGACCAACAUGGUCUAGGCGGGAUUGACAGGGAUGCAACACUUCCUAGCAGCAUUUCUACAACGCUGCCCAUUGGCGGCCGAUUUGUGGGAUUUGUUUGUAUGCACCACAAGCUCACUAAAAUCAGUUUUCUUGCUAUUUGGUUCUCUUCUCCGUUGUCAAUCCCACAGAGUCCAAGAUCUUCAAUUAUUUCUAUACGCUUGUAUAUCCAAUCUGGAAAAUAUAUCUCGCUAGUAUUACCAACUUCCAGGCAAAUGUUUUUUCUUGCUCCAACCAUCUCCAGCACCAACAUCCCGUAGCUGUAAACAUCAGAUUUAUAAGAUACUCGACCGAAGUUUCUGUAAAAUACUUCUGGUGCAAUAUAUCCAACUGUCCCUCUUGCAUCCAACAUUGAUACGAUGCUUUCUCUUCCGGGGCAUAUCUUAGCUAGCCCAAAAUCAGAAAUUUUAGGACGAAAUUCUUCAUCAAGAAGAAUAUUGUGGGGUUUUAUGUCAAAAUGUAGUAUCCUUGUAUUACAGCCUCGAUGCAAAUAUUCUAAACCCCGAGCAACGCCAACUGCAAUUUCAUAUAAUGUUUCCCACCCCAAUUCACGAUUGGCUCUUGAAGACUUUUCCUUAGAUAUAUACUUCUCAAGUGAUCCAUUAGACAUGAACUCGUAUAUCAAGGCACGUUUACAGCCCUCGUAGCAGAAUCCUAAAAGAGUAACAACGUUGACAUGAGAAGUUCUGCUAAUGCUCGCGACCUCAUUGAUAAAUUCUUCUCCAUUACCCUUUGAUUCCUUCAGGAUCUUUACUGCCACAUCGCGACCAUCAGGUAACUUCCCUUUGAAUACACCUCCAUAACCUCCUUGGCCUAGCUUAUCUUUAAAGGACUGUGUCAUUUUCUUGACCUCUGUAUAUUUGUACCUUUUCAUUGCCAUAGGUCCAUCGUUCCUGAGAAAGGCCUCGAUAGUUUUAGAUUCUUCUGUUUGCUUCUUCCAACAGUCUCUUCUCAAGUAACAUAAAAUGAUCAUUAGAACCACAACUGAAGUGGCAGUUGAACCUACGAUAAAUAGAAGGAAACAAAGAAAGCGAUGCAUAUUAAGAAUAAUAUUGAGAUUUAAGAGAAGGCUCUAAUCUCAUUAAUGUUAUUCUCAAAUUAUAAUUGCUAACGGAGGAGAAGAAAAAGGAUGGAAUAGAAGGAAGAUGAGUUUUUGUAUUAUAGUGUGAGAUUGAGAUACUGAAUUACCUAUCCCUAUCCCCAUCCUCGAUAGCACAUUGUUAUCAGCUGCAACUGAGAGAAAAGCGGUGUUAAAAGAAAUUUCUGAAAAAAGAAUUGAAGCAGAGCAAUAUGGCAUUCUAUGAAAUCUCAAUGAAGUAAUAAACAAUGCGUAGUCAAAUUUUUUGCAGUUUAAGUUUGACACGUUAAAAUUAGAUCUGAUGAUUUAUAUGUUUGAAGGAUUUAAGUAUGAGCGCCUUACUCUUCCCUAAACUGUCACAAUGAAGCUUUCCCUGGCUAAUAACUUUACAAUUAGGAGGUAAGGCUGCAUUAACACAUAGAAGAUCUCCAUUUGUAAAUUUUAUCGAACUGUGAUGAAUUGAUUUAGAUACAAGUAUUUUGAGUUCUUUAUAAAUGGUGAUGACAAUAUAUACAUGCUGAGUUUCUUUCUAACGGUUGUCCUAAUAGGUAAUUCUGAAUUGGAAGAAAGAUAGAAGUGACAUUUUCUGCUUUACAGGGAAAUGAUGCUCUCUUUUUCCCUUGAUAAGUGAUGAGAGGUCUGCACAAGCAACCUAGCUUGUGCAGCCUCUGAGACCAAAACCUAUUCUACACUUCUGUUUUCUUCAACACUCUCCUUCAAGGUGGGUUUGUAUAAGUUUAUUGAACCCAUCUUGCUGAGAAUCAAGUGAUGAUUUUGAUUGUCAAGAGCUUUUGUAAAUAUGUCUGUUAAUUGAUCUUGACUCUUGAUAUAAGGUGUUUCAAGUUCUCCCUUCUGAACUUUUUCCCUGAUAAAGUGGCAAUCCACUUCAACGUGCUUGGUUCAUUGGUGAAACACCGGAUUUGAUGCUAUAUGACGAGUGGCUUGGUUAUCGCAAUGCAUUUUUAUAGGCUCUUUACUUUCAAUUUUCAUGUCCUUGAGAACUUGCUUGAUCCAAAUGAGUUCGCUGGACCAUGUUGGUCUUCCUCGUCAAGAUCCCCUCUACAACUAUUAGCAAAUUCUUCAACUACAAAUGAACAGAGCAAUUCAGUUCUCACAUGUAAUUAAAUGCGGUAUAUAUUCUCCCUUGCCGUGUAGCUAUUAAACCAAAACGUAGAUCUAGACAGAUCAGGAUGGUGGCGACAGCACCAUUUCGCGGUGGAGAGAGAAAAAAGAGCAUAAACAAAUUUAGGCGAAACAUAGUUUUCUGAAAUUGUGACAAUUUAUAAACUAUUAUUUCAAGAAUGUUUCUGAAAUUCAAGAAACUAUACUUCCAUAUUAAUGCUUACAUUUUUAAUUUAUUAAUAGAGUAUUGGGUUUAUGUUAUCUCCUUACUAAGUCUCUUAAUAUCUUUAUGAUAUUGAGAUAUGGUAGUGUCAUCUAACUCAGGUCAUUAUUUGAUGUAACAUGAUACAUAAAAUUUUUAUUUUUAACAAAAUUAAAAUUAUUAACUUCUUUUAAACUUAUAUAAUUAGUAAAAUAAGAUAUAAAUAUUACAUUUUAGACUUAUAUUACAUAUAAUCAUUAAAAGAGUAAUUUAUAAUAUUAUUAGUAAGUUUUUGAUUCAAUGGUCGUGAUUAAAUUUAACAAAUCUAAUAACUUAAAAUAUAUAUGACACUGAUUUUAUGUGACACCAAAUAAAUUAUACUAUUUUAUACUUCUACUUAUAUUAAUUACUGACUCAUCAUAGACUGGCUGCACAAAUAAUAUAACAUGCUUUAUUUUCUGUUGUAUAAACUGAUUAAAAAUUCCGCCUAGACCAUGUUGGUCUUCCUCGUCAAGAUUAUUUGCAUAGUCAAAUUAUUUGCAGUUUAAGUUUGACACGUUAAAAUUAGAUCUGAUGAUUUAUAUGUUUGAAGGAUUUAACUAUGAGCGCCUUACUCUUCCCUGAACUGUCACAAUGAAGCAUUCCCUGGCUAAUAACUUUACAAUUAGGAGGUAAGGCUGCAUUAGCACAUAGAAGAUCUCCAUUGUUCUUAACUUGACAUUCACCACCUCUUUCAUAAUGACAGCUGCUACAAUCAAGAGAUACAAACGGUCAUGGAGUCGUCGUGAUUUCCAAACCUAUACCCUGGAAGCAGAGUGGUUGAACACUAAUCCCUGUAAUAACCAAAACUUGUAUUGGGAAUCAUAUGGUAAACGGGGUUGCAUUCAAACAAGCUGAUAUUAGGUACGAUCUGAAAGGAGGAGAUUUUAGGUAUGGAAUGGGGGAAUCGAUUAAUGAAAUCACAUUUUUGUUUGUCCAACCGAUUCUGAAAUUCGUUGUCAUCGAUAGAAAUGGUAUCAGACUGAGAAAUAAGAUCAACUUUAUACCAUGUUCCUCCUCUCUGCAGUUGGAUCUUUUGGCUGCUACAAUUUACCACGUACAGCCCACAAGCAAGAUUUCCCAGUUGGGUGAAAGGAAAUUUAAGAUCUCCAAGCUUUCCACAGUUGAAGAAGGAUGGACAAGGAGAAGGGUAUUUCCAUGUUUCAGUAGAGCAAAGAAAAGGAAGACGAGAGAAAGAAGAAGUGCUAAAACCAAGACAGGUAUCCGCUCACAACUUUUAGGAACUUUUUUUCUCCACUCAAUUAUUGUUCCUUUACUAUACUUCAGAGUAUUUCUACUUCUUUAUCCAUUAAACAAGCCAGUGAAGAAAAAGAAAGGGAAAGAUGCAAUGUGCAAGGUCUGAAAUGCAUUGGCAUUUCUCUGUUUUAGAGCCUAUUUGAGAAGAAACUUUAGAUUCCAACUUGGGUACUUGACUAUUGACUCUUACAAGUCUUUAGGCAGCAUAUACACGCAUAAAAGAUGAAACUGGGGUCCCUGGAUAUUAACCCAUUAAAAUUAAUUUGACUUUGACGCACUGAGUUCUAACAUAAUUUUCAACUUAAACAUAUAAAUAUUAAUAAAAGUUCGUAAAUUUUUCUGUCAGUGUAGUGAUUUGUCAUAACUAUCUUUUGGAUUAUUUUCAAGAACAUUAAAGCUUUUCUUAUCAUUCUAUCUAUGCUGUUAACUUUAAUCCUUCUACUAAGUCGGUGUAUUUCACAAGAACACCAUUCAAUUCUAAUUUCUUGUAGAUGAACGGUAUGAACAAAACUUUUAUUAAGCUUAAGGAAAAUUUUGAAUUAUUUAGCUUUGUGGAUUUUUCACUAGUAAUAAUUUGUAAACGAUUUUUUAAUAGCUAAUUGAAUUUGUUGACCUUGCUUUGUUAAAAGAAAUCAAAAGCUGCAGAACGUAUUUAUAGUUUCCAAAUUUUUGAAAUAGAUAACGCGAUUCGUAGUCUGCAUAUAUGUGAUAUCAGUAUAUGAAGCAGGAGAAAUUAGUAAAAUAUAGACAGAAAAGAAAACUCGCCUGUAAUACAGUUCGAAGUAUGAGGUCGGUCAGGGCAGAAACAUUUAAAAUGGUAGGUGGCGUCAUCGAAUCCACAUUUGCCUCCACUGUUUUCACAUAUGCUGCAGUUACUUGCUAUCCAAUUCAACACAAAUCCUCUUUCUAGCAUUCUGUCUAACCCAUCAGUACUAUUUCCUCCAUGAACAUCCACUGCUACCUUAACCUUAUUUUCACAUACUACUGACGCAUAACCCAGAAGAGGAUCAUCCUCAAACAUUGACAGAGUUGGACCUGUUCCAGUCUCAAUUAAGCAAUCAACCUUGUAUUUGUUAAGCUCACUGUUCCUGUUCCCUAACAGUGUUGAGUUGCACUCGUAGAGAAAGAAUAAGCCUGUCUGAUUAGACGACAACUUGAACCGAUCUUCGGGCAGUGAUGUGCUUCUAAAUGGAGGAAUACAAGUGGUUGCUGUAUCAAAAACAGCUGCGUUCGAGACACGAACUGUCUGGGUUUUGUAGGAGAUAUGGCGAAUGACAUAUUCGUUAUCUCGUAGUUUAAGAAUUGGAUGGCCGUUAUGAUUACAAGAAAGGAAGAAUCCAGGGUAGCCACAGAAGGGUUCUUGCUGGCCUUGGAUAUAGAAUGGAAAGGUAAUAUUUUGACCAUCACCACAGGUUCUCGGAUUGCAGGCUAGGAACUGAGGAUGUAUGCAUAUGGCCUUUCUUGCAAGAAGAAAAGAAAGAACGAUGAAGAGAUUCAUCAACAGAGAAAAGGGUGUUAACAAGAAAUUCUGCUUCAUUUUUGGGAUCUUGAUAAGUGCAAAGGGCUAGAAAGAGAGGAUAAUAACUUUAUAUGGUAAGAGUGAGAAAGGAAAAUUCUCAAGGAGUAUAGUAAAGCAGUGAGGAGAUUUCUUUUUCUAUUAAAAAAAGAAAGAAAGAAGGGUUGAGAAAGCGAGGAAUGAAUAUGUUUGACUUGAUAUUACUGGAUGGUUUUUGUCUCUGACAAGUUGUAGUUUGAGGGGAAGGUUGUCCAUUUGGCAUCCGCCACUCUUUAAUUUUUUUUGCUAUGGACCAAAAUGGAGGUACUCGUUAACAAUUGGUCAAAUUGACCAUUGUACCUUUUUUAUAAUUUUAAUCAUUAUAUUUCAAAUAGAAAUAUUGUAAAAUUUUAGUGUUUCUACUUUUUAAAAUUUAAGAAUUUAAUAUUGAAACUUUAUUUUUUUAAUUUAUUAGUAAUGAAGAGAUAAAAGAAGAAAUAAAAAAUAGUUAAAGCAAUUUCCAAUUCAGAUACUAUAGUAACUCAAUUUAGCAAUUAGAGGCACAUUUUAUCCGCAUAAGUAAUAAAAUCACUUGUUUGAUUAUUAUUUAUUGAUUUACGCAUUUAAUUGUAAUAAAAUAAAAUUUAAAUAUUUAAUUAUUAAAUUUUAAAAAUUUAAAUACCAGUCUCUAAACUUUUAUAAACUUGUGUAUUUUAUCAUGGCAAUAAUUAAAGGCAUUAUUUUUUAUACAAAUAUAGCAAAAUCAUUUUCUAAGAAUUAGGUUGAAUAUAUAUAUAUAUAUAUAUAUAUAUAUAUAUAUAUAUAUAUUAGUUUUUGAAAUCUAGAAUUUUUUUUUGAUAUUAUGUAUUANNNUUUAUAUAUAUACUGAUAAAUAAUUUUUAAUUUGAUAAUGAUACUAAUUCCAUCUAAAAAUAUGAUAUUAAUUAUAUUUUAAUAUUAUAUUAACUAAUAAAUUAAUUUUUAAUUAAAUAAUAAUUUUAAUUCUAGAAGAUAAUAUUUUAAAUAUUAAAUUUAAUAAUAAAUUAAUUUCUUAAUUAAAUAAUAAAUUUCUAAUCUUAAAAAAACAGUAAUAUCAAUUGAUAUAUUAAUUUAUAUAAUAUUAAAAUUAAUUAAUAAAUAAUUUAUAGAUAAUUGUAUUAAUUGAAAUUCUAAAAUUUAAAAAUAUUAAAGAAAUCUAAAAAUAAUUAAUUUAUUAUUUAUUUUUAAAAUUUUAUAAAUUAAUAUUAAAAACUAAAUUUUUUUAUUAAAUUAUUCUAUCAAUUUAAUUUUAUAAUCAAAAUAAUAAUUAUUAUUAUAUAAUGUACGGAUAAACACUUAGUGGUAAAUAAAUUUUCAUUGAAAAAUUAAUUUUCUGUAUAUAUAUUUAUCUAAAUUCACAAAUUAAAUAUCAGAUUUAUUUAUAAAUCAAUUGCACUCUAUCAAAAGCUUAAAGUAAGUGUCCAAAAAAUUAUAAAAUAGCAACCAAUAAGUUUAGGCUCAAUUGCGUUGCAUUAUGAUAUCAAUUUCAAACUCCAGUUAACGCUAAUUAAAAAAAGAAAAAGAGAGAGAGCGGCUAGUGGUCAUGUACCCAAAUAGUGAAGCAACAAAUAAACAAGAAUUUCCAACACAAUGUAAUUGGACUUUAGUACAAUGGAAUUUUCAUACAUAAAUUAUAAUUUCUUAAUUUGAAAUAAUAGUUUAUAAAUUGUCACAAUUCCAGAUAACUAUUCAGUUUAUACGCACCACAAAGCUCACCAACGCCAUUUUUUCUUGCUAGUCGGUUGUCUUCUUUGUUACCGGGGUACAAGCACCAGAACCACUAACCAUUAUGCCAUUAUGAACAGUAAUAUUCAUGUUUGGUGAAAGCCCAUAAACCGAUGAGUGUUUUGUUAAUUCUUGUUGAUUCUUCCUUCAAUUCUUUAACCAAUUCUGAUACUCCAUAAAAUCUUCUUGCUGUGGCUCGUCCAGCUGUGCUUGGUGUGUAGAAUUGAUUCCUGAGCUCAUUUGAAUCCUGACAAUAACUUGAAUAAACUGUGUUAAAUGUGAUGUGUCCACAGAGAAGUAAAGAAAUUUUAAUUUUAAUAAAAGAGAGUGUCCUCCCGAUUGUCUAAAUUAAAUCCCUGAGGAAGCGACAGAAUAACAGGCUCAAAUAUAAUAGUUUACACUACGUUUUGGUUUAAUAGCUACACGGCAGGGGAGAAUAUAUACCGCAUUUAAUUACAUGUGAGAACUGAAUUGCUCUGUUCAUUUGUAGUUGAAGAAUUUGCUAAUAGUUGUGGAGGGGAUCUUGACAAGGAAGACCAACAUGGUCUAGGCGGGACUGACAGGGAUGCAACACUUCCUAGCAUCAUUUCUACAACGCUGCCCAUUGGCGGCCGAUUUGUGGGAUUUGUUUGUAUGCACCACAAGCUCACUAAAAUCAAUUUUCUUGCUAUUUGGUUCUCUUCUCCAUUGUCAAUCCCACAGAGUCCAAGAUCUUCAUUUAUUUCUAUACGCUUGUAUAUCCAAUCUGGAAAAUAUAUCUCGCUAGUAUUACCAACUUCCAGGCAAAUGUUUUUUCUUGCUCCAACCAUCUCCAGCACCAACAUCCCGUAGCUGUAAACAUCAGAUUUAUAAGAUACUCCACCGAAGUUUCUGUAAAAUACUUCUGGUGCAAUAUAUCCAACUGUCCCUCUUGCACCCAACAUCGAUACGAUGCUUUCUCUUCCGGGGCAUAUCUUAGCUAGCCCAAAAUCAGAAAUUUUAGGACGAAAUUCUUCAUCAAGAAGAAUAUUGUGGGGUUUUAUGUCAAAAUGUAGUAUCCUCGUAUUACAGCCUCGAUGCAAGUAUUCUAAACCCCGAGCAACGCCAACUGCAAUUUCAUAUAAUGUUUCCCACCCCAAUUCAUGAUUGGCUCUUGAAGACUUUUCCUUAGAUAUAUACUUCUCAAGUGAUCCAUUAGACAUGAACUCGUAUAUCAAGGCACGUUUACAGCCCUCGUAGCAGAAUCCUAAAAGAGUAACAACGUUGACAUGAGAAGUUCUGCUAAUGCUCGCGACCUCAUUGAUAAAUUCUUCUCCAUUACCCUUUGAUUCCUUCAGGAUCUUUACUGCCACAUCGCGACCAUCAGGUAACUUCCCUUUGAAUACACCUCCAUAACCUCCUUGGCCUAGCUUAUCUUUAAAGGACUGUGUCAUUUUCUUGACCUCUGUAUAUUUGUACCUUUCCAUUGCCAUAGGUCCACCGUUCCUGAGAAAGGCCUCUAUACUUUUAGAUUCUUCUGUUUGCUUCUUCCAACAGAAGUUCACAUUAUCAAAUGUGAAUUCUCUUCUAAAGAAACAGAAAAUGAUCAUAAGAAUUACAGCGGAAGCAGCUGCUGAACCUAUUUUAAACGAAGAGAAAACAGAAAAUGAUGCAUAGUAAGAAUAACAUUGUCUAAACAAGUUUUAAGAAAGCCUCUAGUCUCGCUAACGUUGCUCUCAAGUUAUAAUUGCUAGCAGAGAAAAAAGGAGAUGGGAAAAGAUGGAAGAGAAAUUGUUUUCUUCUAAUGUGACAUUGAGAUAUUGAAUUACCUAUCACCAUCCUGUAUUUCACAUUGAAAUCAACUGCAACAGAAAGAAAAUUGGUGUUAAGCAGAACUGAAGCAUAGCAAAAUGGUAUUCUCUGAAAUCUCAAUGAAGUAAUAAACGUAGGACAGUCAGAAGUUGCAGUUAAAUUCAGAUAUAAACCUAUUGCAAUACAUACUAAUGUAUUCCAUGCGGUCUUUAACAGGCAGAUUCAUGUUUUGAAGGUUUUGAAUCCAAGUACAAAUUAAUGCUCCAAGAGAUCACUUCAUCAUGUCAUUUUCUGAGAGAUAUGUAUAAUUUCAUACCAUCUUCCUUCCGUCUUCAAACGUAUCUUCUGAAUAUCAAAUAUUGUUAAAACUAAACUAAGACAGGAAACCAUCUCAGUACUCCUAAUGUAAACUGAGAACUUCUUUUUCCUCUCAAAUAUUGUGUUUCUUCACUAUAUCCAUUAAACACGUCAGUGAAGUAAAGGCAAGGAAAAGAUGAAAGGUCUGAAAUGCAUUUCCAUUUCCCAAUUUGCCACACUAUUUGAGAAAAUAUUUUAAACUGCACUGGAUAACUUGAUUCACGACUCUUGUAAGUCUUCAGGAAAACAUAUAAACGCCUAGAAAAAUUGGCAGGUGAAGAUAGAAAGUUUGUUUCGUUAUUGACUUGCAUGCUAAAUUGACACUAGUGCAGAGACAGAGAGACUCUGUUGAAGAAAACAGAAUAGGGUCAGGGGACAUGGUCUCAGAGAUUGCACAAGCUGGAUUGCUUGUGCAAGCUUCUCAUCCCUGACCAAUGGUGAAAGGGGGCAACCUUUCCUGUAACUUCUACUUUACCCUUCUCAGAAAGUAGCUGUUAGAACAUGUACCAGCAUCAUUGUAUAUAUACUCAUCUCACUUGUAAAAUGAAAACAGAAUUCCCAAUCUUUUAUAAAUAAUCAUCAUAGUUCAACAAUCCAAAAUUCUACAUGGUAUCAGAGCCUGAUUUAACCAGUCAACACCUACCAAGCCACAAAUUCCACAAUUCAGCAUUCAAAAACAAUGGCUCACAAUGAAACCACCAAAAUCAUCAACAUUGUGCUGCAAGGCAGUCACAACUAUUUUGAGUGGUCAAAUUCAAUUUUCAUUGCCCUCAGUGCUAGAAAAAAAAUUGGAUUCAUCACAGGCAGCAAACAAAAACCAAAACCAGUAAUCCCAGAAGCACCAACAGAGGAAGAAUUAGAAAAAAAUAGAGGAGUGGCAAUCAUCUGACCAUUUGGUCAUGUCCAUGCUCACCAACACAAUGGAAAGUAAAAUUGAUCGGCUGUGUAUCCUUAUAGAGACAUCGAAAGCAAUAUGGGAAAAAACAAAGAAUCUCUACGGCCAUCAAAAUAACUUCGCACACAUUUUCAAGCUAAAGCAGGAACUGUAACAGAUCGUUCAAGGGACCAAAAGUUUCACAGAAUACUCGACAGAAAUACUAACCAGGUGGGAAGAGUUACAAAAUUACCUCCCACCAUCAAAUGAUCCAGAAGAAUUACAGAGAAGAGCGGAGCAGAAUUUAAUUUACACUUACCUAAGGGGUCUGGAUUCAAGCUACGAGGGCUUGCGAUCACAAAUCCUUCUUGCCCCUCAACUGCCCUCAAUCGAAGCCGUAAUAACUACAAUUCAGCGUGAGGAAACUAAAAGGAACUCAAUGAACGAUAUUCCAGAAACUACCGACAACCAGGCCUACUCCACCCGCCGCGACUGAGAUCAACAGAGGAGAGGAGUCAGCGCCAUCGAACGAUGUGACCACUGCAAGAAGCGGGGUCACCAUCGUGACGGCUGUUGGCACCUCCACCCUCAACUGCGACCAGCACGGGGGUGGGAAGGUCCUGGAGCCUGGAAGAAAGGAGGAAGAAGGAUCGAAGAAAAGAGGGAUGAAAACCCUAGGAGAAGGGGUGCGUUUCUGGGUGCUGGGGCGUCAUAUGUCGAAAAUUAUAUGACUCCCCGACCCGAAACCCGACCCGGCAACAUAAGGCUCCACCGACCCGACUAAGAAACCCGAUCCAACCACUCGACCCGGCCUUACCAACCCUUGGAUCAGGCCCAUUCUUCUUCAUCUGGGCUUGGCCCAAGUUUGGCCCAUGUAUCUACAACUGGGCUGGGCCCUGGUUUGCUCCAGGCCCAUCUGCCUUCUUCAAUACAGCCUGCCUACUAGGCCCAUCCGACUCAGCAGGCCCGCCAGGCCCAAAUACAGGACAUUGUGGCCCAGCUCCAAGCCUUGGCCCAGCAACCCCACCGGUUCGGACCCUCUCAACCCGAUGGGUCAGGUUCGGUUCAAUUUAAUUUUUAAUCAUUUAAAAAUAAUACUAGAUCUAAUCAAAAUGCCUGGAUUAUUGACUCAGGUGCUACUGAUCACAUGACUUGGGAUUCUGCAAAAUUAUAAAAAAUUUGUCAGAGCAGAGAUUCCCAGCAUGUGACAGUGGCCAACGGAAAUCAAGUUAAAGUUCAGGGUUAUGGCACCUCAAAUUUAUUUAAUUCCUCUCUUUCGAAUAUUUUACUUUUGCCUGAAUUUAAAUCUAAUCUUUUAUCUAUUGGUAAGAUCACUCGUGAUUUAAAUUGUAAUGUUAUUUUCUCACCAUCCUCAGUCAUUUUUCAGGGUCGAAUUUCCGGGAAGACGAUUGGUGAAGAAUAUCUAGAAAAUGGCCUAUACUAUCUUUCUGAUCCUCCCCAGAAAUGCUUAGCAUCCAUCAAAACCUCCCAAGACAUGCUCAUGCAUCCGAGACUUGGGCAUCCCUCCGACCAUGUUCUCAACAAAUUAUUUUGUUUCAACUUGGAUUCUAGCCAUUGUGAUGUAUGCAAAUUUUCUAAGCACACUCGGCUACCCUUUUCCUUGUCUUCAAGCAUGUCUGAAAAAGUUUUGAAUUAAUACAUUCUGAUGUUUGGGGACCUGCCCCCUAUUACCUCAUAUAAUUAUUUUUGAUAUUUGUUACCUUUAUUGAUGAUUAUUCUCGCACUACCUGACUCUAUUUAUUAAAAGGCAAAAAUAAAGUUUUUUCGCAAUUCCAAGAUUUUACCAUUUUAUCAAAAACCAGUAUAAUGCACACUUAAAAUUUUUCACUUCGAUAAUGGUACGGAGUACAUAAAAUCAAAAUUUCUCCACCUUUUUUAAAUAACAUGGCAUUUCUCAUCAAACCACCUGUGUUAAUACUCCCGAGCAAAACGGCAUUUCUGAGCAAAAGAAUCGCCAUCUCCUCAAUGUCACCCGUACUCUCUUAUUCCAACAUAAUGUUCCCUCUAUUUUUUGGUUGGAUGCCCUUCUAACUGCUACCUACCUUAUUAAUAGACUGCCCUCUGUCACCUUAAAUCAUAUGAGCCCCUUGGAAGUCCUCAAAGGUCAGAAGAUUGACUUAGGUCACCUACGGGUCUUUGGGUUCGUGUGCUAUGUGCACAUCACUCGCCAAUACAAACUUGACAAGAGCUCGGUUAAAACACUUUUCCUCGGAUAUUCCUCUACCCAAAAAGGAUACAAGUGUUAUGAUCCGUUGACUCACAAAACCUAUGUCUCUCGAGAUGUCACCUUCCUCGAGACUGAGUCCUACUACAUCAACCCCACCAGUGUUGACUUUAAUUUCCUUUUUCCGCUUAACUCUAAUAUUUCUCUUAGCAGCUUUGAUCAAUGUCCCCUCCAGGAGCAGCCACCUGUCGUCUCAAGGCUAAUUCCUUCAGGGAGAGAUAACCUCUCACAAGAAGCCCCAUCUCACAAAGUCACAGAAGAAGCAACUGCCUUGAGACGCUCUAAUCGACAGACCAGACCGCCUGUGAAAUUUAGAGACUAUGUGUCUCAUACGGUGACGAAUCCUAUUUAGAAUUUUAUUUCAUAUAACGUUGUAUCUAACCAAUAUCGCAAUUAUCUAUGUCAGAUCUCAAAUCAUCUGAACCUACAAACUUUUAUGAAGCCAAUGCCGACCCCAAGAGGUGUAAGGCUAUGGAAGAAGAACUUCUAGCCCUUGAAAAGAAUGACACAUGGAGCAUUGUAUCCCUUCCAUCAAAUAAAAAACCAGUGGGAUGCAAGUGGAUAUACAAGAUCAAGUACAAUAGUGAUGGAACUAUUGACAGAUACAAAGCCAGACUUGUAGCCCAAGGCUUCACUCAAACCUACGGAGUUGAUUAUCAAGAGACUUUCGCUCCAGUGGCCAAGAUGAACACAGUUAAGAUCUUACUCUCAAUAGCAAUCAAUCAGGGCUGGAACCUAUUCCAAAUGGAUGUCAAGAACGCCUUUCUUCAAGGAAAUUUAGCAGAAGAAGUUUACAUGACUAUUCCCCCUGAAUAUAAGUCCAACUCAUACUCCUCCCUGGUAUGUAAGCUCAAGGAAGCAAUCUAUGGCCUGAAACAAUCCCCAAGGGCAUGGUAUGCUAAACUCAGCUAUUUUUUAUUAAGCAUUAAUUUUAAUAAGUGUGAUUCUGAUUCAUCCAUGUUCGUUGGACACACUCACACCCACACCAUUACUCUUUUGGUAUAUGUUGAUGACAUCAUAAUAAUCGGGAACGAUAAUCAAGAGAUAGAGAAUGUCAAACAAAGUCUAAAAAAGGAAUUUGACAUUAAAAACCUAGGCCAGCUAUCAUACUUCCUAGGCAUAGAAAUAACAAAAUCCAGCAAAGGUUUAUUCCUAUCCCAAAGGAAAUAUACCUUUGAUCUAUUAAAGGAAACUGGAAAAAUAGGAGUUAAACCUGCCAUCACCCUAAUGGAAACCAAAAUUAAACUCAAUUUAGAAGACGGAGAAUCUCUGAUCAACAUAGGACACUAUCAGCGUUUAGUAGGAAAAUUGAUUUAUUUAACUGUCACUAGACCUAACAUUUCUUUUGCAGUUAGUGUGAUAAGUCAGUUUAUGCAUGCCCCUCGCACUAGCCAUCUAGAAGCCAUUGAUCGGAUCCUCAGAUACCUUAAGGGAACACCCGGACAAGGAAUCUGGAUGAAGAGAAAUAACUCUACUAAUACAGUCGGUUUCUCAGAUGCGGAUUGGGCUGGAAGCUGUGAUAGAAAGUCAACCACUGGAUUCUGUGUAUUCGUCGGAGGAAACUUGGUGACAUGGAAAAGCAAAAAAUAGAGCAUAGUUGCUAGAUCAAGUGUCGAAGCUGAGUACCGUGCAAUGGCAUCCACGGCUAGCGAACUCAUUUAGAUCAAGCAAGUUCUCGAGGAUAUGAAAGUUGAAACCAAAGAGCCUAUGAAAAUGUAUUGUGACAAUCAAGCUGCCCGGCACAUAGCAUCGAACCCAGUGUUUCACAAAAGGACCAAACACAUUGAAGUUGAUUGCCAUUUCAUCGGAGAAAAGGUUCAAAAAGGGGAAAUUGAAAUGCCUUACAUCAAGAGUCAAGAUCAAUUAGCAGACAUAUUUACAAAAGCUCUUGACAAACAGAAUCAUCGGUCAAUUCUCAGCAAGAUGGAUUCAAUAAACCUAUAUGAACCCAGCUUGAGGGGGAGUGUUGAAGAAAACAGAAUAGGGUCAGGAGACAUGGUCUCAGAGACUGCACAAGCUGGAUUGCUUGUGCAGGCUUCUCAUCCCUGACCAAGGGUGAAAGGGAGCAACAUUUCCUGCAAAGCAGGAAAUGUCACUUCUACCUUACCCUUCUCAGAAAGUAGUCAUUAGAACAUGUACCAGCAUCAUCGUAUAUAUACUCAUUUCACUUGUAAAAUGAACUCAGAAUUCCCAAUUUUUGUAAAUAAUCAUCAUAGUUCAACAAUCCAAAAUUCUACAGACUUAGCAGCAAAUGAAUUCAGUGGUAACAAACUAAAUUUUAUUCUCACAACUCGUAUAGAAAACAAAAUCAAAGACGGUAAACUACAGGUACAUAUGUGUAAAGGUUUAGAAUAUAUACCUUCCUUCUUUUUCUUAUGAGGUUCUGGCCCUUCUUUUUCCCAAUUUAUUUUAAUUUCCGAUCCAUUGGCAUUUAGACACUGCAACUUCCCUGUGCUGUUGCCAUGACAUUCGCCUGCUUGUAAAUGGCACUGCUCACAAAAGUAGAAUUCAAAUGAUAGAGUCACUUGAAGAGUGAAGUCAGCAGUUAAUAGUUUGAAUAUAUCCUCAUAACCAUUGUCUAUAUUCGCUGGAAGCUGAAUAGUUGAACAACUGGUUGGAGGAAUAGGUACUUCUCUAGUUAUGCCAGUGUAGAAAAUGUUGAAGUUGAGGCACCCUGUGUAGUUAAAUUUAAUAAGAGGACUUGUAACUUUAGCAGUAGGAUCGCAUUUCAACAGGGUUAUUAAUUGGCUGGGCACAAUUUGUAUAUUAACGUCUGGCACAUGCGGAAGACUUAAACUGUUGAAGGAUGCGCAAUUCCUUGAAUCCAAACUCUUCUGAAGCUCUGUGUCAAUGAUGGAAAUGGAACGCUCUGGAGGGUUUUGGAAUUGGAUCCUUUCAACUGUAUACCAUUUUCCUGAUCCUCUCUCUAACUGGAUCUGCUGAUGCUCCUUAUCACAGUCAUUCACUACAAAUAAACCGCAUUCCGUAUUCUCUGUUAUGUUAGUGUAAGGGAAGACGAGUUCCCCGAGACUUCCACAGUUAAAACGGGGACAAAUUGGAUCUUCUAUGGGUUGAAGAAGCACGGGUUGAAAGAGAGCAAAGAAAACAAACAAAGAGACAGCGGCCAUCUCCAUAUUCCCAAUUCAAGAAACUAAAAUAAUUUAGGAACAGAAGCCACCAAAUAAACAAGGUCUUUUUAAGUCCUCCUUCCAUUAAUUCAUGUUCACAAAUAUGAAGCUCUUCAUCAGUUGAAACACGUCAGUUGACUUUGAAAUUUAGCAAGGAAGACUUACAAAAGUGAAGUAAAAUUAAACUCAAGGUGGGGUAUCCAUGUGGAAUUUGCAUUUAGAAAACCUGUUUUCUAUGGGGCAUGGACACAACGGACUCGAGUCACUCCCCGACUCUUCUAAACAACCGCGUAAUAACAUCUGGUGCAACUUCAUUGCAGCUUCCUAUUAACUUCUAAGCAAUGCCAAGAAACUGAGUACCUUUCUUUUAAAAGAACAUGUUUGAAAUAACAUGUUAAUAAUGAGAUGUUGCAAUUUCUUUGCGAUAGAGGGACUUUAGUUUGCGGUCUAAGACAAGUAGGGUAAGUUAGAAAUCCAUUUGAUGGAGGGGAAGAUGGUAGCAGCAGAUUUCUUUGAUACUAUAUUAUAGUCAUGCACCUCUUCUGAUUCCCUUGUACCCCACAAUUUCAGUUCUCUUUAUUUCCUUCGGAACUUCAUCCGCGGAAAUUCUCAACUCGUUAUCCUUCAGAAAACAUCUAAAAUGCUGACUCCGGCAUGAACUUGUCUCUCUUUUAACUUCUUCAUCUGACUUACAUCCGAAAGAUGGAUGAAUCAACUCAUGGAUUGCGCAAUUUGAAUCUUGUUAUAUCAAUAGGAGGCACUGAUGAUAUGAUCAGUUCAGUUCAAUCAAGACAACUCUAAAGCUAUAGACAUCACUCUCAUCUUUUAGCUGAACCAUUGGGGAUACUCCGGAUCAACAAAGCCCGGAAUAACUUACCGUGCAGCCUGGAGAAAAGGGAACGUUCAUCUUGACAGUCACAGAAUAUUAGUCCCCCCCACAUACAUAAGUACUCAAAGAUGGUACAUUAUGAUAAAAAGAAGGAAGGAAGCAUAACCUCACUACUACUUUGGAUUCAGUCGCUUAGUUUGACGUACUCAAAGUUAAGCACUUGCCUUUGGUUAAUAGUUGAUUCGAGUUUUCUUUUAAUGAGUUUCAAAAUUUAACUUAAGAAAUUCCUAUUUCAGAAAAAAGAAAUUUCCACUUUACAAAGUUUACAUAGUAAUAAAAUGCAUAUUACUUGGAAAACCUUAAAACAGAAAAUGCUACAUUACAUCUCUUCCAUAACCGGUUUGACAUAGCUUUUUGCUACCUAUUUUUGUUAUUUAACUUUUUUGGAUUUUUUGUCAUUGCUUCUUGAAAUCCGAUUUAUAGAAUAAGAGGAUAAAUCUUAUUUUCUCUAAAAAGUUAUAUAAAAAUCUAAAAUUUUCAAAACACUGCUCUUCUUUUUUUUUUUUGGAGAAUUCUAGCAUAUGUCUCUUUACUAUUAAUAUACCAAACUAAUAAAAAAUUGAUACAUAUUAUUAGUUUUAAAUAAUAAAAAAUAUAUCAAUUAUUUAAUACAAAAAUAUUUAUAGAUAUGUAUUACUCUCAUAUUAGUUUUAAAGUAUGUAUCAAGAGUAGAUAAAAAUUUCUCGUUUUUAUUACUCAAGCUACUAAACCUUUUUAUUAAUAAUUGAACUGAAUUCAGCUUACGAAUCUAUAGCAAUAAAAUGCUACUCCUAAAUGGGAAAUGGGUACUUGUUGCAUUGUUAUUUCUAUCAGGGAAUGUAUACUCUACCUCCAGUAAGGUGUCUUAUCUAAAAUGUAGAAUCCCAGGAUACGUAUCAUAACCAUCACAGUCUAGUUCAGUCUAGGAUGGAUUUUAGUUCAGUACCCCUCUCCAAUGGCCCAGUUAAAUUCCAUUCUUAUCCCACCCAUAAAACAAAAGACAUAACCCUAAGUCCUAAUCAUGGAUCCAGCAUACACCCCAAUAGAAAUAACAUAUCUAAGAAAAAUGUACGACCCCAGAAUUCAUCAAAAGCAAACAAAAGUUAAUUAGAUGAGGGUCGUGAAGCACACAACACGUGACAUAAAACAAGAGCCCUUACUUUUGUUAUGGAAUUAUGCUCUAACUUCCUUUGAGAGGACAAUGCCAAUUCAAUUCCUUCAUUAUGAGGUUGUUCCCUUCCCCCUUCCCCAUUCCCUCCCUCCUCCUCCACCCAAAAACCCAAAAAAAAGGCACAUCCUUUUCAACCACCAAAGCUCUUUCUUCUCUCCUUUGUGGGACACCUUACACACGUUGCCUUCCCUGCCCAUCACACAUUUUUGCAACCCAACUUAUUAAAAAUAUAAAACAUUAUUGUAUUAUUAUUUAAAAAUCGUUAUAUAAACUUGGUACGUGCGACAUCAAAAAAAAGAAAAACUUGUAAACUUGUACAGAUCACUUUAAAUGAAUGAAAUCCUCUUUCUUGGGUUGCCUGCUUAGUUGGUGAUGUAUAAUCAGCUUUGCCUAAUGCUCUACUUAUUCACCCAUGUCGCAUUGAGAUCUGAAAUUUGCAUAAUCUAAUAGCAAUAAGUUUUCUGUUUAGAAAUGUUAUGCAGUGGUCAAUUUAGUCUUGCAUUUCAAUAUUAUCCAUGCAUAUUAUAUGUUUACUUUUCUUUUUUUAAUGCAGCAAAAUAAUGGACCAAAUUGAGACUAUUUUCAGUAAAAUACUCGAUUGUAUUAUUAUGUGUAAUGUCUCAAAUUUGGGAGUGGCGUGGCAUGAUCCAGUAAUCGAAAUCGAAUUAAUUAACCCCAACUUUGGAACAAAUUAUUAGUUAAAAAUCUUCAUGUGUUGACUUNNNNNNNNNNNNNNNNNNNNNNNNNNNNNNNNNNNNNNNNNNNNNNNNNNNNNNNNNNNNNNNNNNNNNNNNNNNNNNNNNNNNNNNNNNNNNNNNNNNNNNNNNNNNNNNNNNNNNNNNNNNNNNNNNNNNNNNNNNNNNNNNNNNNNNNNNNNNNNNNNNNNNNNNNNNNNNNNNNNNNNNNNNNNNNNNNNNNNNNNNNNNNNNNNNNNNNNNNNNNNNNNNNNNNNNNNNNNNNNNNNNNNNNNNNNNNNNNNNNNNNNNNNNNNNNNNNNNNNNNNNNNNNNNNNNNNNNNNNNNNNNNNNNNNNNNNNNNNNNNNNNNNNNNNNNNNNNNNNNNNNNNNNNNNNNNNNNNNNNNNNNNNNNNNNNNNNNNNNNNNNNNNNNNNNNNNNNNNNNNNNNNNNNNNNNNNNNNNNNNNNNNNNNNNNNNNNNNNNNNNNNNNNNNNNNNNNNNNNNNNNNNNNNNNNNNNNNNNNNNNNNNNNNNNNNNNNNNNNNNNNNNNNNNNNNNNNNNNNNNNNNNNNNNAUAUAAAUUUUUUAUUUAAUAAUAAAAGUUAAUGUAAAGCAUCUAGUAUAUUUUUAGGUGAAAAUAUUAUUGUAAUAUUUCAAUUAUAAUUGCAUUAACAAAUUUCUAAGUCUCUUUUUUCUCAUUUUUAAUGAAAACAUCUAAAUUAUAAACAUUAAUAUUAUAUUUACAUUCUAUCUCUUUUUAACAAAAUUUUGAAGGAAAAAACAGAAAAUUGAUAUUCAUGAUCUAUAAAAUUUAAAUUUAGAUCUUUUAAACAGAAUUUUGAAAAUUUAAUAAUAAAAAAGUGAUAUUCUUCAUCUUAAUAAUAACAGCAUGCUCCAUUCAUGUUGUUGACUAGAACCUUUUUCAAAAUUAAAUAUUAAGAAUUUGUUUUUCUUCAAGAGUUUCUUAAUCACUCAGUAUGAUUAAUUUAUCAUCUAGAUUUGAAAUAUGAACUCAAUACAUUUCAUGAAAGAGACAAAGCUCAAAACAUCCCAGAGAUAAUAAUUUAAGACUUUUUGUAAAUUUUCAACAAUCAAAAUCCAUGAACUAUUGACUAGACUCAGCAUCCAUUUAGAUAAUGAAAUUAAUAAUGUACAAUUGGAUCUGCAUGUGAGUGUUCAUUUCUUUUGCUACCCCACUUAGAUUUUUAGACACCUUUUUUUUUUUUUUUUUGACCUAGCACAUGGGUAGAGUUCUAAUUAUGUCCAUUUGCCCUUCAAUGGGGCAGGAAAUUAUUUCUUUUUCCCAAUUCCAUGAAUACAUCAUAAAACUAAUUAUAAUCCUCAUACUAAGCAAGAUAUAUACUGUAUAAUAUUUGGGUCAUUUGUGAUUUGUUAUGGUGUUGUUAUUAGAACUGCUAUAGAACAAAAUAAAAUAAAAUAAAUUUCAAUGUUCGUAGUAAAUUAAUAGUAUAUUUAAUUUUACUAAUUCAAUAAAUCAUAUACAUAGGUUUAUUAAGAAAAAAAUCGAAAAAUAGCAACAUCACAUAUUUUUUACUCUUAAUAAAGAAAUAAUAAUUCCUAACAGCAAUAUGAGAAGGCAAGCUUCUUCAACAUGUUUUAAGGAGGCUGGUAGCCUGGUAAAGGCUUGGAAUGACAACAAGUAUGUUCUUACUAAAUGAUUUUUCUUGGCUAUUCCAAGUGUAUUGCACCUUAUGCUUACAUGAAUAAUAAGUAUAAAAUAGUUAUAAAAUCUGAAAAAUAAUAUAUUGUGAUUUAUUUCAUAUUAGUAUUGUUGUCAUUUUCAGUCUAGCUUGUCGGAAAUCAAAUUAUAAAUGCAUAUACUUGAUAAAAAUCAAUAAUAGUUUUUCAAUUUCUUUUGAAAUUGAAUAGUGUAAACUAAAUAAUAAUGCAACUACCACAAAUAAAAAAAUAAUGAUUAAGAUAUCAAUUGGUUGCAGUUUUUAAAACCUAAUGCAUCCAUUAGCGGUGGUAUACAAAUAUUCUAGUUAAGGGAGAUUUUUAAAUAGAUUCGCUCAACUAUAUCUUCUAUAAAUUAAAUUAAUUAUAUAAUAAUAAAUAAUAUUAUAAUAUUAUUUAUUAUAUUUUAUAUAUUAAUUAAUUAUUUUAUUACCAUUAAUAAAUUAUAAUUAAAAACCAAUGGGUAAAACUAUAAUAACUAAUAAAUAAAAAUCGAAUCAAUCUAAGGAACUAAUGCCCACAACAGAAAGAAUAAAAAUCAGGCAUGGGUUUUAGUGAAAUAAGAAGAGGAAAUGUCUUUAUCGGAAGUCAGGGUCUCGCCAUUUUUAUUUAAAUCUUCGUCCAUAAGUUGGGGGUGAUGCUGCUGUUAGGCUUUCUUAUGCGAAGAAGAUAAUAUAAAUAUAUAGAUAUAAUAAGGUAUGAUAUAUUUUCCAUCUCUACUGGCACCUAAAACGACAUAUUCCCAUUUUCCCAAUUGCUCAGAAAAAUCUGUGGACCUCAAUUUAUAGUCUCAUCACCUUCCUCAGGAAAGUCUUUAUUAUAUAUAGUAGUAUUUGAUGACUAAUUGUGAAUCACACGUACGUACCAAUUGAAUAUAAUAAUCUCUAUAUUAUUACCCUAGUUGAUAAAAUAAUUUUUAUUUCCUUUAUUUGAUUUUUUUUCUUUUUUUACUGAGAAAAAUUUAUUUUUGAAUAUAUUGUAUGUCAAUAUAAAAAAUGGACCGUUAAGAUCAUCCGGUGAUAAAUAACGAAUUGUCGAUUUCUUAAGAAAAAGAAUAGUGUGUCCGAAUAAAUAUAAAUACAUAAAAUAAUUUAAAUGAAGACAAUUUAAAAAAGAAAAAAACUGUGUGAGAAAAGCAUAUAAUAUUUAAUUAUUUAUUUAUUUUUUAAAACUCCUUGUUAAUACUUAUUAGAUAGUCUUAAAAUUUUAUUCGUGAAUAUAAUAUAAGGGGACUUUUAGCUCCAUGGAAGUUGAAACUCCGUCACUUUUUUUAUGUCAGUACCUUCCAUGUUUUGUCCUACUAAGUUGUUUUGCCUGCAGAAAGUUCAUUUUGAUGAUGAGAAAGUCUUGAUUCAUUUUAUUUUUUCUUGCACACAGACAUUCCUCUUCACUUGGAUUUUCUUCAAUUAACCCUUCAUCUCCUUUUCAUAGAAAUAACAAAUUGGGUUUGUUUGAUCGUUUUGAAAACAUUUUCUUUAGAGGAAUGGAUAGUCCAACCAAGGAAUUUGUGUUUGUGUUUGGUGUUGGGGAAUAUGGUGGAAAGGUUGAUGAUGGAGAUGUAUUUAUUAUAUACCGACGAAAAAUUCAUCUUUAAUAUUAGUGUUUGGUAGAUUGAAGAUUGAUGUUAAAAGUUCGGAAAGAGUAGUGUUCUAGUGUGAUUGUUAAAGAAUUCUAUUAUUAUUUGAGACAACAUUGCGCAUGAAGAGUUUUUUCAAGUAAGCCACUAUUAUGUUCAUAAUUUUCCAUUUAUAGUGUUUGANNNNNNNNNNNNNNNNNNNNNNNNNNNNNNNNNNNNNNNNNNNNNNNNNNNNNNNNNNNNNNNNNNNNNNNNNNNNNNNNNNNNNNNNNNNNNNNNNNNNNNNNNNNNNNNNNNNNNNNNNNNNNNNNNNNNNNNNNNNNNNNNNNNNNNNNNNNNNNNNNNNNNNNNNNNNNNNNNNNNAUCAAUUUUUUUUUAAGGAAAACAAAAUAUACCAAUUUAGUUCUAUAAAUAUCAUUAUUUUGUUUUUAAAAUUUAAAAGUGUAAUUAAACUAUGACACUUGGACUGAAAUUUCAUGAGUUUAUCAAUAUCUUUUGCCAAUAAAAUAUUAAAGUAAGGUAGUAUUUAGUUUUAUAAUUGGUAAAAAAAAAUUAAAAAAAAUUAAAUUUUAAAAGUUACAUUUCUUUUUAUCAAAAAACUUACAUUCUAAAGAAAAAAAAAAAAAGACAAGUUGUGAAUUUAGAAAGAAGGGUCUAUAAAAAAUUAAAAACCAAUUGUUAAAUAAAAAUAUGAAGCCUAUUUUCUUUUGAGAAUGAUUUUAAACCUAUUUUUUUUCUCAAAUUUUAAACCUACUUUGGUAGUACCUAAAAGAAAUUACAAACAUAUCUUAAAUGUUAUUCGAUGAAGAAUAUUCUUCUAAAACAUGGGACAUGGAAAAGAAACUAUGCAAUCUUCUUUUUUUCCUUUAUUUUUUUUUUAGAAUGAAACAAAUAUGCAAUCUAAUUUAGUUAUGAUUUUGGGCAAAUAUUUAUUCUUUUAGUUUCACCCUCUCCGUUCUAAGCAGAAACUCAAUCCCUUUCUUUUAAUUAUCUUUAUCCGUGAUAAAACAAAAAGUUUUAUGCAAACUGAAGCUCCGAUUACUUUCAAUUAAUAUAAUAGAAAAGAAUUAUUCAAAGAAAAGAAAAUAUAUCUUAGAUUGACUUAAUUUGAAUAGUAGAACUACGUCUUAUGUCCAAUGUAUAAUUAAGUUCUACUUCAAUUAAUUCUAAAUUUAAAAUUUAAUCAAACUAGCUGUUGUUAUUAUUUUGAUUAUAAAAUUAAGUUGAUAGAUACAAUUUAAUAAAUUUUUUAAUAUUUAAUACUAAUUAAUAAUAUUUUAAAAGUAAUAGCAAACUAAUUAUUUUUAGAUAUAACAUUAAAAUUAUUUUUCAUAAUUAAAAUUAUUAUUCAAUUAAAAUAUUAUUAAAAUAUUACUUUUUAAAUAGAGUUAAAUUAUUAUCUGAUUAAAAAUUAUUUAUUAAAUAUAACAUUAAAAUAUAAUUAAUAUUUUAAUUUUUAGAAUUAGUGAGCAUUUAAUUAAAAAUAUCAUUUAUUAANNNNNNNNNNNNNNNNNNNNNNNNNNNNNNNNNNNNNNNNNNNNNNNNNNNNNNNNNNNNNNNNNNNNNNNNNNNNNNNNNNNNNNNNNNNNNNNNNNNNNNNNNNNNNNNNNNNNNNNNNNNNNNNNNNNNNNNNNNNNNNNNNNNNNNNNNNNNNNNNNNNNNNNNNNNNNNNNNNNNNNNNNNNNNNNNNNNNNNNNNNNNNNNNNNNNNNNNNNNNNNNNNNNNNNNNNNNNNNNNNNNNNNNNNNNNNNNNNNNNNNNNNNNNNNNNNNNNNNNNNNNNNNNNNNNNNNNNNNNNNNNNNNNNNNNNNNNNNNNNNNNNNNNNNNNNNNNNNNNNNNNNNNNNNNNNNNNNNNNNNNNNNNNNNNNNNNNNNNNNNNNNNNNNNNNNNNNNNNNNNNNNNNNNNNNNNNNNNNNNNNNNNNNNNNNNNNNNNNNNNNNNNNNNNNNNNNNNNNNNNNNNNNNNNNNNNNNNNNNNNNNNNNNNNNNNNNNNNNNNNNNNNNNNNNNNNNNNNNNNNNNNNNNNNNNNNNNNNNNNNNNNNNNNNNNNNNNNNNNNNNNNNNNNNNNNNNNNNNNNNNNNNNNNNNNNNNNNNNNNNNNNNNNNNNNNNNNNNNNNNNNNNNNNNNNNNNNNNNNNNNNNNNNNNNNNNNNNNNNNNNNNNNNNNNNNNNNNNNNNNNNNNNNNNNNNNNNNNNNNNNNNNNNNNNNNNNNNNNNNNNNNNNNNNNNNNACAGAACCUUCCAAUAGCAUAUAAAUCUGUUGGUUGUAUGUUGUUUAUAUAUAUCUUCUAUUUUUUAGCUAAAGCAAAGUUUUAUAAUUAUUUAGAUAACUGUUUAUGAUAAGAUAUUAGAUAAUUGUUAUGCUGAUAAUUAGACGAGGAAAUGUCGCAACGAAAACGAAAUUUACACAUAAAUAUAUGAAAUACAGUUGAACAAUGGCAUGGAUGUUUACCAAUUUUAUGGGAAUGCGCAGGUGAGCCGUAGUGGUGCCGUGGUGCGUCGCCUCCUCGACACGCAGCGUUGGACGUGGAGAAAUGAGCACGCAACUCUUGUCUCAUGCUAGGUGGAAGCCUAGACCUGGCCAGAACUGUUAACCCGAUCAAAAUUGACUGCUUAAAUUUGGGAGGGAUAAUUAUAUUUUUGUGUUUCAACUUAUAAGAAAUCACAAUUGAAUGGUCACACGUUUUAAAUUAAUAACUGAAUAUAAUAUUCUGUGAAAAAAUAAUAAAAUGAUAUUUUUAAUAAAUAAUUUUUAUAUUCUUUUUAGAUUCUAGAAAUAUAGAUAAAAAUAUAAAUACUAAACACAUCAAAUAUUAAACUGUAAAUUUAUUUUGACCUACUCAUUUUUUUAAUAAGAAUAAAAUUUUUAUGUGCGAUCUGAUUUAAUAAAUUUGAUGUUUAAUUAUAAAAUUAAAAUUAAAAUAUUAUCUUUUAUUAAUCCAACUUCUCGAUCUAUUUAUUGACUUUAAAUUAAAAAUUAUAGUUAGUAAUAUAUAAAAAGAUAUUAUAAGAAUACUAAUACACUAACACUAUAGUUCGAUAAUUGAUGAUUCAGAUAAUUCGAUAAAUAUUUUUAAUUCGAUUUAUUUAAUAUAUUUAUUAAUAAAUAAUAAUGAUCAUAAUCAAUCUUUUGAUAGUGAAAUUAAAAUAAAAUCUAAAAUAGGAUAAUUUAGACAAAUAUAGAAAUAAAAGUAAAUACAUAAACUAUGAGAAUCUGGAUUUGGAGAAGGAAAUUGAUACGUUAGGUAAUAUAAUUUGGAAAGUAUCAAAACAAAUUCUGCAAAACCUAUAAAUAUAUUAGAAUACAAAAUCUUGUUGGAUAUCUAAAUAAUUAUUGUUUUUUAUUAUAGUUAGUCCGCUCACUAGCUAGUAGCCAGGAGUUAUCAAGUUUUAAGAAACAAAGUCUACUAAUUUUGUCCUGACACAAUCGAAUAAGAUAAGAAAAAAGACGGACAAAUCCACCAUACACGUGUAACACAUCUCAUCGCUCACACGUGUCAGUACAUUCUAAAUCACAAAACCCGACCUCCCCCCGAAUCCAAAAAUCCCCCAAUCAAAACGCUUGUUAGUGAAUUUCUAAAGAUAUUGAUUGAUAAAACUAGAUUUGGCUAAUUAUGCAAUUCAAUUAAUAUUACCCAUUUUUGACAUAUUUCACUAUUUUAUAGUAUUAUGUAUCCAGUAAUCACAUGGGCAAAACCGUCUUUCGAAUAAAAUAAAGAUAGCUGGUGCCAUCACGUCAAAUAUGGCUAUCCCUUCUCCUCAUUCAUCAUGUUUAAAAGGAAAAUUACAUCCAAAUCCCUGAAAUUUAAUUUGGAUGGAAUACGACAUUAGACUUAAUUUUACCUAUACUUUAAUUUUAAAAUUUAAUAACACAACACCUUUUAAUUGUUGUAAGGUGUAUUUCUACUAUGAGACAAAUGAAAAGAUUAGAGCCUAUUUGGUUUUAUCUUAUCGUCUAAUUAUUGUAAUUUUAUUUUUAAUUUUUAAUACAUUUGUAAAAUAUUUUUUAUUAUUAUUUUAAUUUUUUAAGAUGAUAAAUACGUUAUCAUAAGUACGUUUUUCUAAUUUUUUUCAGGUUAUUCUCUGAAGAUAAAUAUUUAAAUUUGUAAAAUAAAAAUAGGAAAUAAACAAUAAAAAUGAUAUCAAACAGACCGUUAAACAUUAUCACACAAGUAAAUUAAGUAACGUUAACAGCCUCCAAUGGUAGUUUUGCGAAUAGAGAAAUUAAAGUUCCGAAAUGUGUUAAAUUUUGAGGACUUCAAUGUAAUUUUCCUUAAAUAUUUAAAUUAUUUCUCUCCCUGGUGGUCUCUGCCUCUACCUGCUAACUCAUCCAUUUUUAUACACACCCUUCCUUUUGUCCAUCUCUCCUUUUAGCCUUUGUUUUUCCUUCAAUCGUUUUCUAUUUACUGUUUUGCCCCUACCAUAAUCUCUGUCUCUCUGUUUCACCUAUACAUCCAUCUUCUCCAUUUUAGGGUUUUAAGAUUUCCGAUUUUCUCCGAUCCGAUUCUCCUUCUUGUCAAAUUGUUUGAAUUUACUAACAACUUACAUUUUGUCGAAUUUGAAUCCAGACGUUAUUUCAACUAUUAAAUCGCAGUGGAAGUACUUAAUUCUUAGGAUUCUAGUUUCUCUUUUUUCUUUUUAAUUAUUUAAAAAAAAAAUAGGUGUAGAAAUGUUAGGGACAGGAUUGCAAUUUAGUGGCCGAGGUGGUCGUGGAGAAGAUCGAUUUUAUCAACCAGCUAAAGGCCGUAGAAAUCACCACCACAAUCAACACAAUGAUCAACUGCGUAGAGCUCAGAGCGAUGUUACACCGGCGGCGACUCAAUUGCCAUCAUCGGCAAAGGAGGAAGUUGAAAAGUCGUCCGUUUUGAUGGCGGAUAGAGAGCCUGAUAACCUAACCGAAUCUCAUAAAUCGGCGGUUUCAGUGCCUGCCAUUGAACCGGUGUUUUCUCCAUUGAGUAAUUUAGAGCGGUUUUUGGAGUCUAUUACACCAUCUGUUCAGGCGCUGUACUUAUCUAAGGUCUGAUUGUUUGUUUGGUUUUGUUUAUUUCUCCCCUAGGGGAAAGAUUUUUUUUAAAAAGUUGAUAAAAGGUAAAGCAGAUUUAUUUUUAUUUUUAACUUGAACUAGGUUUGACUUUGUUUUUUUUUAUGUUAUUUAGUGGAAUAGGUUAUUUUGUAAGACUUAAAGGAUUUGAAAUCAGUUGCAAGUUGCAUACAGAAUUCAUUUCAAGCAUUUGAUUUGGUGUUAUAAGAAUGAGAAAUUAAAGAGUUAGUUCCCAUAAUUUUUUAUGUGCGGAAAUGAGUAAUUUAAGGAGUUUUUUGUGUGCAGACUACAAUGCGAGGGUGGAGGACGUGUGAUGUGGAGUUUCAACCAUAUUUUGUACUAGGUGAUUUAUGGGAGUCCUUCAAGGAAUGGAGUGCUUAUGGUGCUGGAGUUCCUGUUAUUUUGAAUCAUAGUGAUUCUGUUGUUCAAUAUUAUGUCCCCUAUUUGUCUGGUAUUCAACUUUAUGGAGAGUCUACCAAGACUUGUGAUAAGUCCAGGUAAACACACAGAUGCUACUGAUGCUAAAUUCUGUUUAUUUAAUGUGUUUGUAUUUAUCACCUAUUUUCUUAGUUCACUUAGCCUUUGUUGUUAGUGAAAUUCUUUUUUCAGAAUUUGUUCAUUGGUUUUGCUCUUGAAUACAACUAGGACAUUUGAGUAUUUAAAUUGGACCUACUGCAUGAUUUUUUUAGUUUAAUUUUUUUGUUGGAAAAAGUACUUGAUGUUUUAAAGCAUUGACAAUCUGCUGUAUGAUUUGGUCAUGUUCGACAAAUUACACAGAGCUUUAUGAUGGAGAGGUGAAGCUCUUCUACCUUUUCUUUUAAAGUUACCAUGUUGUGCAAAGGUGGAAAUAUGAAUCUGCUACAUUUGACUACUGAACUUGAACUUGAACCUGCCAAAUGAAGAUUCUGUUAUCCUUUUUGUAUUUGAAAGAGUAUAUCCUUUUCAUGCACAAUACUGGCUCAAGAUUUACAAUUUAUUUACAUUUUCUUCCCUUUUUUAUGUGCUAAAGAAAAAGUAUGGGCAACAUUAUUACAUGAAGAUCAUUAUGCCCUUAAUCUUAUAAUCCUGCAAUACGAUGCAAAUUCUUUUUUGACAAUAUAUUCUGUGUGCUACAUGUUGUUUAACAGUUAUUUCAUAUCUCUUAUAACUUUUAAGAUUUAACUUGAUUAUGCUUGCGUGAAACAAUAUCCUAGCUUACAAAAUUACGUUCUGUUUUUGACUCUUUGUUUGCUAUUAUUCAUAAAGUGUUAUUAGAGAACUACUACAUUAUAACUAAUGUCUAAUCAAGAUGACGGUUUCUUUUUUAACACCAUUUUUACUCAUUGCUCUUUGGAUCAUGAUACUCCUUAUGGUAUUGAGUGAUGAUGCUACAUAUUCUUUGAAUUUUAUUACGAUGACAUUUUGUUCUUUUCAAUAUUGUCUUCUGAAACUAUGCAUUUAAUGUUGUUAGUACUUCCUUUAAAAGUUCUGUUGCAAUGAUUAUGAUUGUUACUCUUAUGUUUGAGAUGUCACUGAUUCUGCAACAUACAACAUAAUUGGCUGAGAAUAUUCAACAGUAUGGAUUGUUCAUUUAUAUUAUAAAAUAUUUCUUAGAUAAGGUAUUUAAGAGGUUUCUGAGUUUGUCUUUCUUCAUUUUCUUACUUGAUCUUAUGCUCAAUCGGAAGUCUGUAUAUUUGCCUGUUGGAUUAGGAUGUCCUUGCCAUUUCUGGUUGAUGACAUUGUGGUUUAAGUUUAAUUUGUAUAAUUUUGAUUUUUAAAUUUAAUAAAAGGAUUGCUUACAACCUCCUUCGGAUGCUAAUUCCUUUCAUUGAAAGGCAUUGUAGCCUAGAAAAAUGCUAUGGCGGAUCAAGAGUAUUGGUUUCAAUUGCGGAGUCCUGUUUUUUUGUUUCUUGGAAGAAAACCUUAUCUAGAAUGUUCAAUUAGUUUUUUUUUUUUUUUUCCAAUUAAGAAAUCAUUCAGGUUCAAGUACAUGCUCAAGCACAUCUAAUUUUGAUUUUGGAAUCAAAUCCAGUUUGUUUGUUGAUUUAAGGUUUGGAGGUGAUUGUGGGGCCUCUCCAGGUAUUUGUGAGCUUGUGAAUUGUGCAAAAGCAUCUUACAAUGAGCAUUAUGCAACUUAGUAUGGCCUUGAGCCGAUUGAUAUUUAUACAAUAGCCAGCAGUUAAUUUGGCGAGGCUUAUUUGUACCUUGAGAUGUAGAUUGAGUUUUAUGGGUCAGAUGGGCAGCUUCCCUGCAACUUCAUUCCCUUCCCCUUGCAGAAGUUUGAUCUUUAGAUGGACUGCCUCUUUCUCUUUUUCUCUGGUGCUCCAUAUUUGUAUGUCUUACAGAGGGAAAUGCAUCUCUUAUUUAUGCAUUUGUAGUCUUGAAUUAAGUAUUUGGCUGUUUUCUCCUAUACUUGUACAUGUUUGUACUUCUUUAGGCUGGCAGUCGUAUAGAAUUUGAAUGGUCCAAUUGUGACAGGAGACUAGGCGAGGACAGUGACAGUGAUUUUAGGGAUUCAAGUAGUGAUGGUAGCAGUGAUUGUGAACCUGAAAGAGGAUUGACGGGGUCAAGGAAACAAUGGAAUCAUCAGCACGUAGCAAAUGGAGUUCCUCUUAGAAUGGAUAGAUUGUCACUUAGAGAUUGCCAUAAUGCCCAUCAAGAGGACUUCUCUAGUGAUGAUGGUGAAUCUAGUAAUUCUCAAGGACGCUUGCUGUUUGAGUAUUUUGAACGAGAUCCCCCUUAUGGCCGGGAACCAUUGGCCGACAAGGUUUUCUUUCUCUUUUUAAUAUUUUUCUCCUUUUCAUGGGUUCAUUCUGUUCCCCCCCUUCUGAACAUUUUCAUUGUCACAGAUUUCAGAUCUCGCAUUAGAAUUCCCUGGUUUAAAGACACUAAGAAGUUGUGAUUUACUAUCAUCAAGCUGGAUUUCUGUGGCCUGGUAUUCAUCUUUCAGUGUUUCGUUUGCUAAUGAUAUUAAAUUCUCAUGUUUGAUUAUUGGUCUGCUGGAAAUUUGUAGGUAUCCGAUUUACAGGAUACCAACAGGACCAACACUGAAAGACCUGGAUGCUUGCUUUCUGACAUACCAUUCUCUUCAUACACCAUUAGGAGGUAAUAACUUUUAUAUUGUCAUGUAUGUUACAUUAGUGCUCUCUGUCACUAUAUCUCUCUAUGGAAUGAAAAACAAUUUUCUUAUGGCCCAAUUUUUGCAGUACUUUCCUGUUAGUAUUUUCAGUUGGAAAUUAAGUGUGAUGCAGUUAUAAGUUGUAGAAUACAUGGUAUAAUCCUAGUCAGAAAUUAUUAUUUUAUUUGGAGCUGUAAAAAUUUUCAUGUACUGUAAAAAAAUUGUAUCACUUGGAGAAGGAGUAGUCUUUCCAUAUGAUGUUUAAAAGCUUUGAUUUCCACUUAGUAUUUAACUUUACUCGACUUGAUCUCAGGUCAAACUAGUUGGGGCUAGCUAUAACCGAUUCUUUUAUUCUGUUCUGUUUGUGAUCUAUCUUUCUGCAAUUGCUAAGAUUAUAAAUUUAUAUCAAGCUGGUCCACAUAGUGUCUGCUCCCAUGUAAGAUAAGACUUAACAUUUUGAGAAAUUUAAUAUUAUCAAACUUCCCAAGCCUGGACAUGAGUUUUUGUGAGAAUGUAGAUUGAUGAAUAUGUUCCUUGAAAUAAUGUUAAUUAUUCUUUAGUUGACUCAUCAUACUGAUUUUCUUGUCAGGUGCACAAACUGCUCAUACUCCAGUUAUGACAUAUCCCACUGAGAUGGAUGGUGUGCCUAAGAUGUCCUUGCCUGUAUUUGGGCUUGCAUCAUACAAGUUCAAGGGGCCCUUGUGGACCCCUAGUGGGGGAAGCGAGCGACAAUUGGCAAAUUCUCUUUUGCAGGCUGCUGACAAUUGGUUGAGAUUGGUUCAGGUCUAUCAUCCAGAUUUCGUGUUUUUCUGCCGCAGGUGAUAAAAAAUUCUGAUGGAUACUUCAUCCCUUCAAACAUUCUGGAAGCUAUAAGCCCAACGCACUUGUUUCAUAAAUGAAUUAUGAGAGCUGAACUAAUCCCUUAAUUUAUGGAAAGAAAGAUGUCAAGUGGAGUCAGGUGCAAGUUUUUUGAUAUUUGUUCUUACAGUAGUUUUAUAUGGGGAUAAAAAAAGGAAAAAAAAAAAAAAGAAAAAAAAAAUUGUGGGAGAGGUUUGGAAUGGAAAGAGUGCAAAUAAGGCUUAAGCAAAAAUGAAUAGAGGAAACAGAGUUAGGAUGAGCUACUGAACGGAGAGCUGAACUAAGGUGAAGAAGUGGUUUAGCCUACCUCAGUGAGAGCAAGUUUUACUUGCUCCUCCUUAUUAAAUUAUAUAAUGGGUUUUGUAAUGAUAAACCAGGCACUUUUUUUCUGUCCUGCUGGUUCGUCUUAGCAUGUAAUAUUUUAUUUCAACUUUUUUUUUUUGUUGAUAUUUUCAAGUUUGCACCUGCUCCAGAAAUGUAUUUUAACACUAAUUGGUAUGUUUAUCAAACAAAUAAUGCUCUAAAAAUGGUUGUUUAAUAGGAAUGAACUGAUUAAUUAGGUUAAAAAGGGCUGUUUGUGAUUGUUUAUGCUUCUGGUCAUUUUAUUCUUAUGGGAUUGUAGCUGUGUCGUGCAUAUAAGCAUGAGCGCUUUCCAAUUUAAGAUAGAAGCAGUUUUGUUCUAAUUUCCAAGUCAUUGCUGUCUUGUAAUUCUCUAUGUUCAACUCGGCUGCAUUUGUGCUUUUUAUUCAUCGUUGAAAUGUAGGGCACUCCAGAAAUUGUCCAAAUUGAAUACUGAAAUUCAAUGUGUCUUUUUGUUUAAUAUUAGGCGAGAGAGAUUAAGUUUGAUGUGUUUUUGAUGUUCAUUCUGAGCGGUCAUGAUGGUAGAUUAUAUUAUUACGUGGGAAAUAAUUUCGUGAACUAUCUCAUGCUAAUGUUCUGGGGUCAAUGCGAAAACAGUCAAGUGUCUGGCAGGAAAAGGUAGAGAGCUGUUUCGUCCUCUGUAUUUCCUGUAAUUUGCUGCAUUGGCAGUUAAAAUUCCUCAAUUAAAGGUACAGAAACCAAAAACUGUUCUAUCAUUAUUUCUUACAGUUGUGGCUGUCUAUUCUAAAUUAUUUCUUACAAUUGUGGCCAUCUGUGGGAUUCUAUAACAAAAUAAAUAAUUGUCCAAGUGCAUAGGGGGUAGGGAGCUUUGGUGAUUGAGUAAAAUAUUAUGUUUAGUAAUUACUUCCUAUUAGAAUAUUGUUUUGAGAAAUCUAUCUUGCCGGGAAAACAGAUUGUACACAUUUAUAAAACUCCCGUUAUUACUUGAUUUCUUGUUACAAAGUUAUUUGUAGUCGCAGUUUCAGCGUGAUUCCGAGACUUGGCCAAAUGAAUAAAAAAAACAAACAAACAAACAGUACAAGGUAGAGCACUGCCAUUUAGAACUCAACCUCUUCAUCUACACGGUCUUGCAGCUUCCUCUCCAAAGCCUCUGAGCAUAUAUUUCCCAUCACGUGAUAGAAGGAAAUGAGAUCGGAUAGUUGUCCAAUUGACAUUUUCCCCAUUACAAUUCUUGCAAUUCUCUCUCUCUCCUCAUUCAUCUUUAAUCUUUCCCUGUACACGGAAGCGUUUCUCACUGUUGCACCCAUUUGCUUCAGCCUGUUCUCUUGCUGCAAGCUCAAUGCUGUGUUUGCCUGUGGUCAUGAAAUUAUAAACUGAAAAGGUUAAUCCCAUUUUAUAUUCAAAGUGGCACUUCAAUCAGUCUGCUUGUCUUUACUGGUAUUUCAGUGAGUAGCUGUUUUUACUUGAGAUGUUCAAGCAAAUACUGGAUUGCCAUAAAAAAGGGUGUCUUUAUACAUACUGAAGCCUCGCUUUGCAAAGGUCAGGAUGCAACCUUUUCCCUGCUUUUUCAGGGGAGGCUACUUCCACAAGCUAGGUCCACUACCUUCCCGUCACAAAGUACAUAUUUAUCAUCACAACACUACUCACUCUUCAAUCCUGGAAUGCACGUAUGUAAGACCUUCUUGGAAGGGCAAUAUUGUAUUGAGUUUUCUAUUUAUUUAACAAGUUUUUUAAUCUGUGUGAGACAAACCUCAAGAAAUUCUGCUCCAACUUCCAGUUCAGGUUCUUGGCCCAAAGGCAUUCCUCUUCCUGAGUUAUACAUGUCUCUUGCAAUUGAGAAACUUCUGACAAUGGUCUUUCUCUUUGUCUCCAGUUCCUGGUUAAGCUUGGGAGCCUUCGGCACGCAUGCUGAGCAAUUAAGCCUUUUCUUAUAUGCAAUUACAGCCUUCACAAAUUCCUGCAAAAUAGUCGUGAAUAUCCUCUUCUUGUAUCAGUUUAAGAAACAAGCUAACUAUUAUGCAGAACAUAAAUUAAUUGAUAAGAAAAAAGAAGAAGCCAAUUCUGAGUUUUACCUUAUAUGCAGCUGGGCAACCAGGGUAAUCAAAAUCAUCUGAAUCUUGGUGUCGCAUUCUCUCUGGAUGAAAUUGUAAACCCAUAAUAAACUUUCCCUCAUCAGGAUUGUAAGCAUCAGGAUCAUAGAAUCCUUCAAUCAAACCAUCAGGAGCAAAAGCCAUUGGCACGAAUCUUUGAGCCAAUUUCUUAACACCUUGGUGAUGAUAACUAUUAACCAUGAUCUCCAUUUUAGUUUCCUCCAAUGAAUCAUUAAACCAGUGGUGUAAAGGAGUGUUUUCCGCAACCUGCACUUUGUGCCGGUGCCCGUCAUAAUUCUCAUAGUUUAUGUGCAUAAUUCUUUGUUCUUCAGGUAUUUUCUUGGAAAGUUCUUUCUCUACAUCUUGAUACAAUGUACCUCCACAGGCAACAUUAAGAACUUGCGACCCUCUGCAGAUCCCCAAAUAUGGUAUGUUUCUUUCAAGGCAUAAUUUUGCAAGUCCUAGUUCAAUUGUGUCUUUCUCUCUAUCAAUGGCAGUAUCACUUGCAUGCACUUUCCUGAUUUCUUCAAGUUCUUCUGGUGAAAUACCUGAUAGCUCUGCAUCGUAAAGGGAUGGAUCAAUAUCUUCACCUUCACAAAGAAGGACGCCAUGGAUAGGCUCGAAGCUUUCCAAUAGCAUGUGAACUCCAGUUACUCUAGGAACUAUCACUGGCACUGCUCCAUAGCUUACUAUAAGAUCUAGAUGGAAUUCUCCUGUUUAUUAUAUGAAAAAGGGACAGAGACAAUCAUAUAUUAGAUAUGGGAACAUAAAAUUGCUUAUGCUGCUAAUAUAAUUAAUACCUCAUAAAUCAGAAAAUAAUUCAUGAUUUAGAUUUCGUAAGUUAAACCANNNNNNNNNNNNNNNNNNNNNNNNNNNNNNNNNNNNNNNNNNNNNNNNNNNNNNNNNNNNNNNNNNNNNNNNNNNNNNNNNNNNNNNNNNNNNNNNNNNNNNNNNNNNNNNNNNNNNNNNNNNNNNNNNNNNNNNNNNNNNNNNNNNNNNNNNNNNNNNNNNNNNNNNNNNNNNNNNNNNNNNNNNNNNNNNNNNNNNNNNNNNNNNNNNNNNNNNNNNNNNNNNNNNNNNNNNNNNNNNNNNNNNNNNNNNNNNNNNNNNNNNNNNNNNNNNNNNNNNNNNNNNNNNNNNNNNNNNNNNNNNNNNNNNNNNNNNNNNNNNNNNNNNNNNNNNNNNNNNNNNNNNNNNNNNNNNNNNNNNNNNNNNNNNNNNNNNNNNNNNNNNNNNNNNNNNNNNNNNNNNNNNNNNNNNNNNNNNNNNNNNNNNNNNNNNNNNNNNNNNNNNNNNNNNNNNNNNNNNNNNNNNNNNNNNNNNNNNNNNNNNNNNNNNNNNNNNNNNNNNNNNNNNNNNNNNNNNNNNNNNNNNNNNNNNNNNNNNNNNNNNNNNNNNNNNNNNNNNNNNNNAAACACAUAAACAAGCAUUCUUAUACACACAUGCAAUCAAAAAGAACCAUACAUACAUACAUAUAAAUACACGGACAAAACUAUUGGUGAAAUUAAGGAAGAGAAGGAAAAAAAAAAAAAAAAGAAGGAACGAACCCACAAAAUCAACAAACUUGUUUUUGCGAAGGGUUCGCCUGGAGACAAUAAGAACCCUUGGAAGAACCAUUGAAAGAUUUGAAUCAUCAUUGUUAUUAGCAGGCAUGGCAGAGACACUGAGAAAGUGAUAUAAGCUUUUCUUUUUCUGUGCUCCAAAACAAAAAAAAAAAAAAAAAACAAACAAGGAAUUGAAAAGGGUCUUGGAAAAGCUUUAGUUCUUGACAAUAAAAACUGGUUUGUGUAUAUAAAGAAAUUUAGCAAUCUAAGGAGAUAGCGGUGGGAUAUGAGAAGGCAGAGGCGGUUCCUCCAUUUUCUGAGUUUUAUAGGAGAUGAAUACGAGGACUAGGCGCCGCGUAUCAACACAUGUUCGGUUUUGGCAAAAUUAAUUAAUUGAAAAAACCAAUUGUAUAAAUAAACAAAAACCCAAACUGAAAGUAGAGGUAAGCGUUAUCUAAGGUUAAGUCAAAGCUGUUGAUUGGAUGCUGAUGUGGAGUUAAGUGUAUGGAUAGAAUUAAGAGCCGUUUAUUAUACUUUGCUUCUUAAUUAGGAUUUGUUUUCUUUCUUUUGUAGUUCGGUUUAUCACUUUAUUUAUUCUAUUUAUUUUUUAUACUUAAUGUAUCGAAUAAUUAAUAUAAAAAUUAAAAAAAAAUAACUAUUAACGAUUAGAAAAAAUCUAAAUGAAAAAAAGUUAAUUAUCUAUAUAUUAUUUAUUUAGUUGAAAUGCAUAAUUUAUAAAACUUGAUUAAAAUUGUUAAUGCAUUUCAUAGACUUUGUCAACUCGUCAUUAAUAGUACCAGCCACAGGCAGCUAUCCUUGUUAGUCUUUUUCUUAAUCAGAUGAUAGAUAUUACACAGACUUGUUAGUUUGGAAGCCACUACGUAUAGACUUUUAAAAUCAUAUAUUAUUCAUGGCCACUUAAUAAAGCUUGAAUUAAGAUUUUAAUUAUAUAUUUUGUCUUGCUUUUAAUAUGAUGACAUAACCAAAUAUAUUCCUAUCCAGUUAGUACCCAAUUCAUUAAUAACAACUGCACAUCAGUCUUUAAAAUAUGGGAUUAUAGUUAGGAAAUAUUUAAAAUAAAAAUUUAGGACAACAACUUUCACACUUUUUUCUCUUUGAAAACUUUCAGAGGAAAAAGGGUUACAAGAGUUGGCAUUGUUUGGAACUUCAAAUUUAUAAAAUAGAAUAAUUCGUACGUUUAAUUCUUAUUUAUAUAUUUCAAUUUUUUAAAAUUUUAUUUGUAAUUAAUAAUAAUAAUAUAUGAAAGAAAUUAGAAGUAGCCAUCUAUCAUAAAAUAAAAUAAUCAGAGACUAAUAAAAAUUAUCAAAUUUAUAUUAAGUUAUAAUUUCCAUAUCCUUUGCAUGUACCCACAGUUUGAUGAAUCCACGUCGUUCAGUCAAAUAUGAUAGUUUUGAAAUUUGAGGAUAUUUCCACGGCAUUAUCGACACGUCAGAGCAUUCACAUAAGUUUUGGUAUUGAUGAAAUCAGUACUCGAACUUUAUCACAAGAAAACCGAGAAAACAUGUGGUUUAAUUUUUUUGGUAUAAGUGGUUUUCUUUUUGUGAUAUUUUACUAAUUUUUAUUUAAAUUUAAUAAAUAUUGUUAAUAGUUUUAGAAAUUGAAUCUCAAAUAAAGUUUAAUAGCUUAUCGAAUAUAUGAUAAAGUAUAGAAUUAUAUAAUGUUAUCAGAUUAUUCAAAAUUUAUUGAAAUUAUCUAAAAUUAAAAAAAUUGAAUUAUUAAAUAUUUUUUAUUUUUUUAAACAACUACAAAAAUUGAUAUGAUUAGUUUUAAAUAAAAACUAAGUUGAUAAAAAAAUAAAAUAGUGUUGAAACUACAACUAAUUAAUGCUAAAUAAAUAAACUAUAACUAUUUAAUUAACGGUGUUAGUGAAUUUUAAUGUAAAUUAUUAANNNNNNNNNNNNNNNNNNNNNNNUCUAGUCAAUUUUAUAUUUUUCUUCAAGAAAAUAUUAAUUAUUAUUAGGAUAUGUUGUUUGUGAAAUUUUAAAUUCUUAAGAAUUUAAAAUUUUGAGACUUAUAAGUUUUAUAUUUUUUAAUUUUUAAAGUUUAAAACUUUAUUUUUCUCAUUAGUUGGAAAUUAGGUUAAAGACUUAAGUUCCUCGUAGUCAUUUAUUAAAUGAAUAUUAAAUAAAAUAAUUAUCUAAUUAAGAUGUAAUUUAAUUGGGGUAAAGGAAGAAUGAAUUUGCUUUUUGAGAGGAAAAAAUGAAUUUGCUUAGAAUAAGAGAAAGAGUAAAUAUCAAAAUAUUGAAUUGCUUAAGAAAAAAAAAACUCAAUUGGAAUAAAAACUCCAUGGCAUAAUAAGAUCAAGGAAAUAGUUCUCAGAUCUUAUUUAUUCGUUAUUUAAAUUAAGUUACAACAUUAGCAGCAGAAUUAAGGAUUAAGAAAAAGCCAAUAACUAAAUACUAUAUACCAAUAAUUACUUUUAAAUGGAAAAAAUAUAAAUCUCUGUUAGCACUCAUCACUUUAUCUUACGUAAAUACAAAAAAAAAAAGAAUAAUAUAUGUGAAUUUACAAAGAUGAUAUGACUAUUUUAAUAUAAUCAUGAGAAAGUAUUGAGAACCACCAAAUAAAGAAAAACUUUUUGUGUCUUAAUAAUUUGAAAAAAAAGUAAAAUUUUAAUUGUAUUUGUUAAAAUAGUAAACAUUUUUAAUAAAUGAGUGUUUAUAUUGUUUAUUUAUCACCAUAUUCUAUUACUUAGAAUUUUAGAACUAUAUUUUUUUUAAUUUAAUAAUUAAUUUACGAGUCCAAAAUACAAUGUUAUAUGAAAAACUAGUAAUAUUGAGAGGGAUAAAUAUCGAGCUUAAUCUCUCUCUCUCUCUAUAUAUUAUAUUAAAUUAAAUAUAUAUUCUACAAUUAUAUAAUAAUUAUAUAUUUAAUGAUUAUAAUAAUAUAUUUGAUUAUAAUAAUUAUAUAAUUUAAUUUUAAUAAUUAUAUUAUAUAUUUAAUAAUUAUAUAUUAAAUUUAAAUAAAAAUCUAAAAUAAAAUUAAAAAUGUCAUACUCAACAAAAGUUCAUUUAUAUACAAUAAUCAUAUUGUAACGGAUAUAGUUUAAUAGUAAAAGUAUGAUUCGUUCUAUUAAUUCUAUUCUAAUAGUUAAAGGAUCCUUCGCUCCAUAUUUCGGUGAAAAACUUUAUUUUUUAAAUCCUUUAUCUCUCAAUAAAAAAUUCGAAAAAGAUAUACAUUCUCAUGAUUUAUAUCCAAUUUUUUUCAAUUAUAUAUAUAUAUAUAUAUAUAUUAAUUUAUGAGAUCUAAAUUUUUUAAUAUUUGUAUUUAAUUUUUGAUACAUAAUAUUUUUAUUUUGAUAUGUCUACUAUUUUGACACAUAGGAUUUAGACUUUUAUGCAAUUUUAUAAUCUUUUCUAAUUAAUAAGUUAUAUUUCUAAUUAUACACUCACUCUAAUAUUAAGAAAUAGCAUAUAUUAAUUAUACUUUAAUAUUAUAUUAAUAAAUAAAUAAUUUUCUAAUAAGAUAAUUAUACUAAUUCUAUUUUAAACAAUAACAUAUUAAUUAUAUUCUGAUAUUAUAUUAACUAAUAAAUUAAUUUUUUAAUUAUAUAAUAAUUCAAAUUCUAAGAGAUAACAUUUUAAAUAUUAUAUUUAAUAGUAAAUUAUUUUUUAACUAUAUAAUAAUUUAUUAAUUUUAAUAAAUAGUAAUAUCAAUUAUAAUUUUAAGUUAAAUAAUAUAAUAUUAAUUAAUAAAUACUUUUAAAAUAAUUUUUAUAUUAUUAUACUAAUAAAAUUUUUAAAAAUUAAAAAUAUUUUUAAAAAACUAGUUUGGUAUUAUAUUUUAAAUUAUUAUAAAUUAAUAUUAAACAUUAAAUUUUUUUAUUAAAUUAUAUGUAUCAACUUAAUUUUAUAAUCGAAAUAAUAAUAACGGUCGUGUAACGCACUAGUAAAUGACUAGUUAAGUAACUAGUUUUGACACUUGUGUCCUAUGCAAAUAAUUUUAUAUAGAUAUUAUAAUAUUAUAAGAGGACGUAAAUUUUUUUGGAUAUUGAAAAUUUAAUUAUUUUUUAUUUGAUAAUUAUAUAUAAUUAACAAAUACUAAAACGAUCAAGCAUUAUUCUUUAAGAAUAAAAUUGAUUAUAUUUAAUAAUAAAAAAUUACUUUCUAGAAAACAAAAAAAAUAAAAUACAUAUUAUAUAUCAACAUUUGAAAUAAGUUUUAUGGAAAAGCUUGCAACGGAAGAACCAUUUGAAGACCUCAGAGAAAGGGCCAGUAGGUAACAUUAGUGGGUCUGUUGCCCAAUAGCUGUGUGUUAGUUAUCAACAGUUUUGGGCCAUGUCCUUUUUUAUAUAAUAUUAUAUAUAUAAGAAAAAGGAACUAAAAUCAGUCGUCAGCUGUGUAACCAAAAAUUAAGACGGAAAAAGGGCUACCUGCUAUAACCGGUAAACACAACCGGAAUACAGGCCUGCUGACAAUAUUCCAACCGUAUUCCAGCUAUUAAGGUCACUCAUUUUCUGCAUACAGUCAGCAAAUAGGUCCCACACAGUUGUUUUCUUACCUAAACCAUCGCUCCUAUCACCAUCCAACUCUCGAUCAAUCACACCAUUAAAUCCUCAAGACCAUCAAAAUACUGUGGUCACGAAUGCAGGGGGUCAGAAAUCCAAAACAAUCAUAACCUGAUAAACAAUAGAAAAGGCCAGCUUAGCUAGUAAAGCGCGAAGCAAAUUCAGACACAAAUCCAAACGAGACUUUAAAAAAAGAAAAGAAAAUUUAAAAGCAGAGAGCCCAAAACAAGGACCAAUCCGCAUAAACUAUAAUAAAAACCACCACUUUUGUAAUUAACACACACAAACAAAAAUUAAGAAAAGAAAAAAAACAAAAGAAGCUGUAAAUUUACCAUAGAGAAAAGGACACUACUACUCUCUGUCUGUCCCUCUCUCCACCUUCACACUCUGCCUAAAAUGGCUCUCUCUGUCACUGUUUUAGCCACCGUCACUUCCCUUCACCUCAUCGCCUUUGUCCUCGCCGUUGGCGCCGAACGCCGCCGCAGCCAUGUACUCUCUCUCUCUCUCUCUCUCUCUCUGUGUUUUGAGAUUUUCUGUUUCAGAGUUUUAAUUUUAAUUUUUAAUAUUUGUUUGUUUGUUUUGUUCUUGGGGUUGUGCGUGUUCCUUCAGGCUACGGUGGUGCCAGAUAAGUANNNNNNNNNNNNNNNNNNNNNNNNNNNNNNNNNNNNNNNNNNNNNNNNNNNNNNNNNNNNNNNNNNNNNNNNNNNNNNNNNNNNNNNNNNNNNNNNNNNNNNNNNNNNNNNNNNNNNNNNNNNNNNNNNNNNNNNNNNNNNNNNNNNNNNNNNNNNNNNNNNNNNNNNNNNNNNNNNNNNNNNNNNNNNNNNNNNNNNNNNNNNNNNNNNNNNNNNNNNNNNNNNNNNNNNNNNNNNNNNNNNNNNNNNNNNNNNNNNNNNNNNNNNNNNNNNNNNNNNNNNNNNNNNNNNNNNNNNNNNNNNNNNNNNNNNNNNNNNNNNNNNNNNNNNNNNNNNNNNNNNNNNNNNNNNNNNNNNNNNNNNNNNNNNNNNNNNNNNNNNNNNNNNNNNNNNNNNNNNNNNNNNNNNNNNNNNNNNNNNNNNNNNNNNNNNNNNNNNNNNNNNNNNNNNNNNNNNNNNNNNNCCUGGUUAUUAUUCUUUGAACUAUUCAUAAUUCCGUAAUUAGUAGUCGCUUACCUUACCUGAACGGGCUAGUUGAAGCCUUUCUCCGUCAUCUGACGGUGUGCUUGAUCAGAUGGGCCCCACCUUUAAAUAUCUGCACUCACAGUAACACCGACAAAUAAUGCCAAAAUUUGUGCUGUUAGUGUUUGUUGAGUUGUUAAAACAUGGAAAAUCUGAAAUAAGACUGCCGAUUUUUGACACUACCGGUUAAAUAAUAAGGAACAUAACUAACUAAUCGGGUUUAGAUUUUGGAUAAAUAGGUUUAGUGAAGUAAAAAUAAGUUCACAUGUAAUAUAACACACAAAUAAGCAUUUAUAUGUGCAAUUAUUUCCUAUGUUUAAUUAUAAAUCUCAUUAAUUUUGUAUUAGGCUUAGAGUUCUAACAAAAUUAAUUAGACGGAUGGUAUUUGGGUUGAGUAUAUCUCUGUUAUACUCGUGCCUUGACACCGGCCAUUUAUGACCCGCCAGCCUAAAUCGCAGACCUUAAUCUGAAAUAUUGUUCUUUAAUAAAAAACUAAACGUAAUUCUUAUUUGUAUUCUUUUGGUGAAGGCUUUAACUCAAAUCACUUGCAAAACUAUAAAUCAACAGCAUGACAAAUAUAUUUUUUUCUUUUCUAAUUUUAGCAUUUUGGUGUGUGAUAUGAAUGAAUAGGAUGAAUGUUAUUGGGGUCCAUGAUCUUAAUCUAGUAAUUUAUUCAAAUCUUUUGUUUGUUUUAAUCCUGUUGGGCUUUGAGAUCUUUCAUCUCAAAUUAUUUCACCUAUUCACAAAUAUUGCCAUCUUCAGUUAUCUACUUUUGUUUUAGGGUUUCAAAUGCAACCUUAUUUGUCCUUUUAAAAAUGGAGUGCCACAGCAGCUCUGCUUAGACUAAACUUUGAGAAUUAAAAUACAAUCUCUAGGGUAAGCUUUUUGGGAGCAGAGGCAUGCCUGUUAGCUGGGUCAGCAAGGAAUGCAUACCAUACCAAGUACAGAGGAAUCUAUGGCGGUGAACACUUAUCAUGCACCACCAUUCGCAAGGGCGUCUUCGCUGCCGGAGCAGCUCUCACAUUAUUGUCAAUGUUGGGGUCAAUCCUUUACUAUUGGUCUCACUCCAGAGCUGAUACUGGCGGAUGGGAGAAGCACCAGAACGAAGGCGUUGGCAUGACUGCUUCAAGUUAUCCACCGCAACAGCAACAACAGCAACAGAUUGGUGAAUUUGAGAAAGUUUAACAGUGGUUUGAUUAGAUUUAGCAUUCACAGUUUUGGGGUGGGGGAAUAUGGAUAGAGAAAAAAAGACGACAAAGUGUUAGUGAGCUAUGAACAUAUAGAUAUCUGUAUGUGAUAUUACAUUAAUUUCUCAGAUGCUUAAAUAUAUAGUGUUUGUUCAUAGUUGUGAACUCUUAUAUGAAUGUCAUGCCCUAGUUUCCAUGAUUAUGCUUUAUUGAUGUAAAAUUGCUGGAUUAUGGAUUUUACAUAUCAAUGUUAUGGGUGAUUUUUACUUGGGUAUACCAUGCAGGUUAUGUUUCUGAUAUGCUAACUGAGUUGUAUACUUAUUCUUGAAUGUGAAUUUUGAGGAAGGAAAUGAGACUUUUGACUGUGAUUGAAAGCAAGAACACGGACACCUUAUUAUAUAAAAAUAGGUUUACAUAAUAAGAUAUAAUUAUUUUCUUACACUUAUAAUAAAGUGAUAGCUCAUUUAAUUUGGACAACCUUAAAUUCGACGUUUCUAAUCUCAACAGCAAAGGAAUGUGCCUUUUGAUGGUAUUGUUGUUUGAAAAACUAUUGUUUUUUAAAAAGAAUUAGAUAUUUUCCUUUUCUAUUAUUUGAUGUAUAUAUUUUUUCCAAGAAUCAGAUUCCAAAAAGAUAUUGAAAGAAUAAAUAGAAGAACUUGAAAAUUAAAAGCAGGUGGGGAAAACAAUACUAAAUAGGCCAUAAGUACUUUUGUAUCUUUAGUCAAACAUGGGAUGGAAUCAAAGUAACAUAAAUCCUGGUCUGGUCUGGGUUGAUAAUUUAUUCUUAAAUUCAAACUUUAUUUUUGAUGGUUUAAAUAAUAUAUUGUUUUAAUUAAAUUGUGCAUGGGAGUUCUACUCUCUUCCUCUUCAUAAUUAUACACUUUAUCAAAAGGAUUUAAUCUCAUCAUUUAUAUAGUCAUACUUUUUCUUUUGUUCAAUCCCAAACCUUUUAGAAAGUAAUCAUUGAUAAGGGAUACAAAUCAAAUCAGUUGCCUUUCAUAAUCCCGAAUGAUACAUAGAAAUUCAAAUUCAAUAUCUUGACCCAACCUUUUCUCUAUUUUGCCUGUAAUUCUUGCAUUACUUGUAGCUUCCUUCUUUCUAAACAAAGCUGAUUUGGAAUUGUUUCUCAAUUUCAGGAUGUAACUUGUAUUUGCAGUAAAAAAUAUUCAUCCCUCAAUUAUUGUUGCUUAAUAUCUUGCACACACAAAUAUUUAUAUAUGUAUUAUUGAAUGAUAUGCAUAAAUGGCUGAGAAGCAACCUCUUUAUAAUUUUGAACAAGAAAUAGACACNNNNNNNNNNNNNNNNNNNNNNNNNNNNNNNNNNNNNNNNNNNNNNNNNNNNNNNNNNNNNNNNNNNNNNNNNNNNNNNNNNNNNNNNNNNNNNNNNNNNNNNNNNNNNNNNNNNNNNNNNNNNNNNNNNNNNNNNNNNNNNNNNNNNNNNNNNNNNNNNNNNNNNNNNNNNNNNNNNNNNNNNNNNNNNNNNNNNNNNNNNNNNNNNNNNNNNNNNNNNNNNNNNNNNNNNNNNNNNNNNNNNNNNNNNNNNNNNNNNNNNNNNNNNNNNNNNNNNNNNNNNNNNNNNNNNNNNNNNNNNNNNNNNNNNNNNNNNNNNNNNNNNNNNNNNNNNNNNNNNNNNNNNNNNNNNNNNNNNNNNNNNNNNNNNNNNNNNNNNNNNNNNNNNNNNNNNNNNNNNNNNNNNNNNNNNNNNNNNNNNNNNNNNNNNNNNNNNNNNNNNNNNNNNNNNNNNNNNNNNNNAAACAAUCACUGUGAAUACAGUGUAGCAUACAGAAGCUAGCUAGCAGUUGGGGAACGGAGAGCCACAAAUGGUAGCCACCUUCUUGGCAUUGGGAGAGUUGACAAGCUUCUGGAGGUUUGGAUUCUUAACAUACUGACAGAGGCAAGGUCUCUGCUGCUUCAACUUGCUGCAACAGAUUGCUGAUGGUGGGCUUGAAGAUGUUAUCGCAUUUGCACAUGCGCUUAACUCAACUGGGUCACAAGUAACAGCAGAAGUUACCUGAACUGUCUCCCCAAGUAACAGGACAAGCAUAAAGAAAGGUGUCACGUAUGACAUUUUCAUUUUCACCUACCUCAAUGGAGCACAAAGCGUGUGGUACUUACGUUUGUUGAGGAGGUGAUGUUGCAGUUUGGGAAGAACCCUCUUCUCAAUUUAUAGAAUGGAGCAGUGGGGUUCAAGGAACCAAUUAGAGGUGUUUGUAAUUAAUAUGGAGAUUAUUAUGCAGAUGACUAAUAAUUUCUUAGAAAAAACUCAAAUCAGUAUUGGUAAUUAAUAUAUAUAAUUUCUUUUUUAUAUUUUAAACCAAAUAUCAUUUAGUAUUCGGACUAAUUUUGAGCUUAUGUCAGCAAAUGACAGAGACAUAAAAUAAAUAAAUAAAAUUUAGUUCUCAUACUUUCAAAGACAAUAAAAAGACUAAUCACGACCAUGAUUAACAAUAAAUAAACAAUUUAAUUUAGUAAUUCUCUAUUGUUGCUACUAGCUAGCUCUAAAAUUGGGUGCUAGCUCCUUAUCAUGAAAAUGGAGGUCACAUUUUCUUUUUUUGCUUUAAUUAUUGAUAAAUUGUUCUUAAUAUAAUAGACUAGGGACCAUGGUUGCUGCACUUAUAUUAUUAUGUGUUCUUAGGGGAGUAAGGCUAACUCGAAUUAUAACUUUAUCUUAAUGUUAUUAAGACACUAAUCCUGAUUAUCUUAUUCUUGUUCUAGUUCUUCUUACUUAUUCUUUUCUAUAUAAUUUUAAAAUUUUAGUAUUUAACGAAAACAAUAAUAUGUCUCCCUAAUUUGUAAUUCAAGACAAAACAUAAUAAUAUACUAUUUUUAUUUGUAAAAUAUGUUUCAUAUUUUAAAUAGUGCUCAAAUUCUCCUUAUUAAGCAAACACAGAUAAUUUUUUUAAAAAUUUAUUUUUUUUAUAAAUUUGUUAUGGAACUAAAGUGAAUCAAAUAUUGGACCGAGUAUUAAUAAUAUUUUAAACAAUUGAUGAUCAUUAGCAAUUAAUCAUGCAAUAUAAAGAGUGGCGCCUGGUUUUCUUGAGCCAUCUUUGAAUGGCUUUCGGUGAUGUGAUUGGAUGCCUCUAAUUUUAGUGUUUCUCAAGACAUUUUCAAUCUUUGUUCGAAAACAACUCUGACAAUUUCACCAUAAAAGUGACAGCAAUUCAGACAAUUAAUUUGUAGUCCCCAAUGGGUUGCGUCAACUAAAUUUGCUGUAAUGAUUUCUAUUGUGCAUGCCAUCUACCUACUAAACCCACAUGAAAUUUGGCAAAAGAGAGCUCCAUAUUGUACAGAAACUAAGAGUCUUUUUUAUCCUCUUAUUUUCUUGUUAUUCAUGUGGAACAGGGGAGAAAAAAAAAAAGAGAAUUGAAGGAAAACUAUAUCAAUAUCUGAAAUAGUUAAAUAAUUUAGAAAAAGCCCAGAAAUACUCUAAUUUGAUGUGAUAAUGCUAAAGUAGGAGGUUUGUAUAAAGCUGCUUUGUAAUUUAUAUUGCGAUUAAGAUAUGAUCCACUUGCAUGUUUGUGAAUCAUUAAAUAAGGCCAUGAGAAAUUGUACCUUUUCAUUUAUGUGGCAAUUUUUUAUUUAUAAUAUAUUUAAUUAGUUAAAAUAUUUUUAAUACAGUUUUGACAUAUAUAACUCGAUCUCUCAUUUUUUAAUAAUACAUUAUGACCUCUUUAAUAUUUACUUUAAUGUGCUUUUUCACUUUUACAUUAAUAUAUUUUUUUACUCUUUCAUCAAAAUUUCAAAGAAUAUUCCAUUAGUCCAAGCAUAAUAAUUUUUAAUAUUUUAAAACUGUCCUUCAAUUGAGCAUAAAUUUUUUAUAGAUGUUUUAUUAAGUUUUAUAAAUAAUAUUAAUUAUAUUUAAAAUUUAUAAUUAAAUUAUCAUAAUUAUAAUUUAUCUUGAAUAUAUAAUAAAACUUUUAAAAUUAUUUUUUAAAAUUUUAUAAAUUUGAUAUAUAGUAAUUUCAAUGACAGAGUUAAAGUAAUUUUAAUAUAGUACAGGGGAGUCAUAGUAAUUCAUCCUAUAAGGUUUGAUAACAUUUUAAAGAUAAAUUCGUAUUUUUACAUUAUAUUAACAGAUUAUUUUAACGAAAGGAGAAAAUAAUAUAUUGAACUAAAUCUUAAAGAGGUCAUAAUGUAUUAUUAGAAAAUGAAGGAUCAACUUGUGUAUUUCACUUAGCCUCAAGGGAGUCGUAAUAACUUAUCCUUUUAAGUUAUUUAUCUUAAAAAGUCAUAUGUUAUAAAUUAAUAUUUUAAAAAUAUAAAUUAAAAAAUUAGUUUAACUCUCAACAAUUGAACAGUUAAAUUUUAUAAUUUAUUUUAAUUUUAUAAAUGUAUUAUAAGUCUUUAAAUUGAUUCUUAAUUAUAAUUUUUUGGCUAAAAUUACAAAAUUAAAACUCUUAAUUUUUAUAAAAUAAAAAUAAAAAUAAAAAUAAAACAAAGAGUAAAAUAUAAAAGCUUAUUGUAUUAAAUAAAACGUUCUCCUCUUCAAUAUAAAGACUUCUUUUAAGUACUUUUUAUUGCAAAAUGACGUUUCUGGAAAAAAUAAGCAGUAUUACUUAGGGCUGAGUAUGGAUCGGUCCUAUUCAAUUAUCUAUAAAUCACUAGUAUCAUAUCAAACCUCGGUUCUUUUAAAGUUGAAGGUAGUAGUAUUAUACCAAAUAUAAAAGGAUCCAUAACGUAUUGUACUAAUUUUUACAGUUAAAUAUAGUUCGGUUCGGUGCUAUUUUCGGUUCUAAAAAAUUUUAAAAAUACAACUUUAAUCUCAUCUUUAAUCAAAUAUAUUUAGAGAAAAUAUGAUUAUCAACCUAAAGAAAAUAGCAUGAAAAUCUGAAUUAGAAUUGCAAUCACAUUCUUGAACAACAUGUUUUGCAAUUCAGUCACUUGUAAAUAUAAUAAUUCAUUCAAUAUUUAUAUAUAAAUUAUUAAAAUAUAUGUUACUGCUAGCAUAAAAAUAUUUUGCAGAUGGCAAUCCUUAAAAUAAAAUAUUUUUUGCAGUUGCAGCCAACAAUCUACCCAGCAAAAAUAAAAGUAAAAAAGUAGAAAAGAAAAGAAAAAUACCUAAGACUGAGCAAUGGUGGCACCGUUAUGGGAAGAGAGAGCGCUAAAGAAGAAGAUGUCUACGCGAGCCAAUUCUUGCUUCUGCCUUUCUGCGAGCCAAUUAUGUGUGGCGCUAAAGAGGAAGACGUCUAGGCGAGCCAAUUUCUUCCUUCUUCCUUUUGAUUUUCUGUCCAGAAAUUACCUUAGGAAUUUUGUCUUUCUGAAUUGAAAAUUGAGAGGUGCGGCGGUGUGUUCUAAAUAGGAAGAUGUCUACGCAAUCCAUCUUCCUUUUGAUUUUCUGUCGAGAGAUUUGCCUUAGGGAUUUUAUCUUUCUGAAUUGCAAAAUGGAAGGUACGGCGAUGUGUUCUAAAGAGGAAGACGGUAUGUUCAAAUUGUUAGGUAUAUGCUUGUAGUAUGUGGUAAGAAAAUAUAUUAGGGUUAAGUUAGUAGAUAAUAAAUUAUAAAUUUAGUAUUAGAGUAAUGUAUAUUAGUAUCAGUAUACUAUAUGAUAUACUAAUAUAUAACUUAUAUUUUUUUAUAGAGUAUAAAGUACAUUAUAAUAUUAUAGUUACUUUUAAUAUGUAGUACUUUUUUCUUAUUUCGAUAAUAAUUGCUUGAAUUAUAUAAAAUGAUAAAUAUAAAAUAAUUUCUUUUAUAGAGUAUAAAGUAUUUUAUAAUAUUAUAGUUAUUUUUAUAGGCAUUAUUUAUAUAAUAUAAAUAAUUAUCAAUAAAUAUAUGUAAAAAAUUCGGUUUUACGGUUUGGUCCGGAUCAGUAUAAGACGGAUCGGUUCUGGUACGAUUAUGGUACGGUCUUUACUAAAGAACCAGUACCAUACCGUAAUAGUAAAAAAAAUUGGAUCAGUUCAAUUCGGUUAUAAAAAAUUUCGGUUAUUUCGGUUUUGGUAUUUUUCGGUACAGUUAUUCAAUUCGGAUGGGAAUCACCAAGAUCCAUGCUCAGCCCUAAUAUUACUCUGAUACUUUGGUCAUUUUUGUUUUAGUUUAUAGAGAAUAUUCAAAGAUCGGAUAUGCAUCUUUUGCAGUCUCUGAAAGGGCCUUUUUAUUAUUAUUAUUUAAACCUGUUGCUUUUUUACUUUUGAAUGGUGGAUUUUUCUUUUAUCUUCCACAGUAAUAAAUCCUAAACUCACCACAAACACUUUAAUUGGUCAAUGGUAAAAGAUUUUGUUGAAAGAUUAUCCACAAUUUGGCAAAAAGAUAAAAAGAAAAAUGGUAUUAUUAAGGCAUGCCAUUUGUGCUCUAAUUAUUACAAAACAAUAUCAUCAUAAUUAACCAGUGGCUAUUAUGAUUCACUCCGACUCGGUGAAUUGCAAUCAUUUUUUAUCAAAGGAUUUCAUUUUCUGUAUUAAUACUUCUUGUCGAACUCUUUAGAAACAAAAGAAAAAAAGGAAAGAAAGAAGAACCCUUCUUCUUCCCAAAGUAUGAUACAUUUAAAUUUAAAUUAUGGAAUUAGAAAUGGUAACGGAUUUAGGUAUUCAAUUCUAUCUCAUAAAGAAUAUAUAUUAAAUAUAAUAGAAUUAAAAUUGGAUUCAGAUUUAAAUUUUAAUAUCAUAUUUGAAUAAAGUUCAGAUUUCAUAUUUACAAUUAGUAGACUAGCAAUCGACCGACAUAGGAAUAUAAGUUAUCAAGGUCGACAAUCUGAUAUUUGACUGUAUAUAGUCGACUUAUUUCCAUACUAUUUGUUAAAAAGAAACUAUAUAUAGAAAAUAUAUUUUAUGCAACACAUAUAUAAGAAUUUUAUUUUGCAUAUAUAAGUAAAAAGCUCUAAUUUUAUUAUUUUUAUUUCACACAUUAAAUAUGAAAAUUUAGUUUUAAAUAAUUUCUAAUUGAAUUUUAUUUGUUAAUAAAAUAAUUUUUUUAAUCGAUGAAUUUCAGCUAAACGCUAUGUAAAUGAGUAAUAGGUUGAAUUUCAUAUAAGCCAAACUUAAUUAUCAUUGUUGUUGAAAUGAAUCUACGGUGGUGCCCAUGGCGAGAAGGUAAGAAAAGAAAGAAAAGAAGAAAGAGAAAGAGAAAGAGAAAGAGGUGCAACAAUGAACGAUGGUGAUAGCUAGACUAUUGAAUGGAGAAUAACAAUUUGCCAAUGACUAUGAGCAAUGGGCAAACGACUACAAAAAUGAAAAUUCUUAACUAGAUUUGGUGCAUGGCUCCACUUAUUUACUAAAUCGAUAGAUGAUUGAUAUAUAUUUAUCAGUUUUAAAUGAUGAAAUAUGUGUUAAUUAUCCAAUGCUAAAGUGUAAAAUGCUCAUACUUACGUAUCACUCAUCUAUUAAUUAUGAUGUAUACACCAAGUCCAAGUAAUUUUUUUUUUUUAAAAAUAAUAUUUAAUAGAAUCUAACCUAUAUUAAAGGUUUAGAAGAUUUUGAUCCUAUCCAUUAGACAAAGGACAGUGUUGAAGCUAUUGAGCGGCAAACAACCAACUAGCGAUGAUGAAGUUAUAGAACGACAAGCAAAUAGAUAAAUCUAUAUAUAUAUAUAUAUAUAUAUAUAUAUAUAUAUAAUCUUAGUUUCCGUAGAUAGAAGGUUUUGUUGCUUUUGUAUAAGACGCUUCUUCUAUUCUUAUAGUAUAGAUUACUUAUGCAACAAUCUUAAGAUGUGUGUUCAUUGCUUUAUUAUUAUAAUUAUUAUUAUUAUUAUUAUUUGUUACUAAGACGAAGUUAUAUACGCAUGCUUCACUUAGUUGUAGAGCUGUUAAUUUGUCUACAAUUGUUCUUUCGUUAUUGUAUAAUGAAGUGACGAAGAAAAAUAGAUAUAUAGGUUCGUAUAAGUAACAAUAGAUUUAUUUGGAGUUUGGAGUCUGAAAUGUUGAAUCUAAUGUUCAGUUGUGUCCAUGGACGCUAUAUCUAAAUUGGCUCUCUGUCGAGUUAGUGACCAAGAAUGAAUUGAUUAUAGUAACAACAACAUGAAUAAUAAACUUGAAUCAUUACAAUGCAACGAGAGGGAUAUUUAUACUUGACUAUUGGAGAGUGAUAAUUAAAAGAGAUGUUUCUUUCUUUUUUUAAUACGAGCCAAAUUCUUUUAUUACUUUCUAAUAAGUCAGAGACGCAUAGCUUGUCACAAUUCGAUAUGUGAAUCCGUGACACGACGCUAAAAAAUGGAUAAGCAUAAGGCUUUAGAAACUCAUAGCAAGUCUGACUAAACAAUAACUUAAUUAAAAUAUAAGUUGAUCUAUUAUAUCAAGAUUUCAUCUAUACAAUUACAAUAGAAUUUAUACCGGUUCAUCAACAAUAAUAAAAUUAAAACAUCAUCAAGUUGUUCAUCAUGUCGAAUAAAAAUAAUAAGUCUGAAUGCAAAUACUACAGAGUAUCUAAAACUUUACAUAAUUAGAAAUACAAGAAAAAUAGUUAUGUUAAGCCCGAGGAAGGAAAGAGUCGAGCUGCCAAAAAUAGAGGAACUGCAGAUAAUCUAACUGUCAUCUGAAAAAUUUAAUUUGAGACUGUCAGUCUCGAGAGUGAAUUAAAAUUAAAUAAUUCAAAACAAACACAACCAUCACUAUAAAAUAAUUAUCUAAAUAAAUAUAAACUAUCAUGAAAUAAUUAAAAUGCGUGUCAUGUCAUAUUUCAAAAAUAUUUAAUUUAAUAAAUACAAGAUGAGAACAUCAGCAGAACCCUAUACUCCAAUUCUAUUAGUCAAUCACUCGUUUAUUUCCAAUAAGACUGGCAAGGCUCGACUAGAGUUCUUAAAUCCAGUUUGGUAACUUAAUUAUCAAUAUAGCCGGCGCCCAGAAAGCAAUACUCGACCGGGGUCCUUUCCUCUGAUGAAUUAUAAUUUUUGUAAACCCAGAGAACGAUACUCGAACAGGGCACAUCAAUAAAUAUUCCCCUGUUACGUGUCUCUCAUUUAUACCGGUGCCCACGUGGUCCUGAUGCAAUCCAUCAGGUGGCAUAUUCUACUGUCGUCUCAUCCCGAAUUACAUUAUAGUCUUAGCAUCAAUAAUAUUAAAAUAACAUAAAUAACUAACAAGCAUAGAAUUACUCAAUUUAAUAUUAAAUACUAAAAUUGAAUAGCAUCGAUUUAAAUGAAAUUAUGGUUAUAUGCAAUAUUCAUAGUAAAUAUAAUAAUAGUGAUAAAAAUAGUAGAAAUUAACAUAAUAAUAAUAACGAUGAUAAAAAUUAAAAAAAAAUAAUAAUAAUUAAAUAAUAUUGCAUUAACUAGUGGCAUGACACAUGCACUAUUGAUUAUAAGAUUUUAAAUCACAGUUUUAUUGAAUUUUCUUUAGUUGAUCCUAUGUUUCUGGCGGAGCUAGCUGAACUGUCGGAUUAUCGAGCCAAAAAUUUAAAGUUCUGCGCAUUCGGAAAAGGCUAGGGUCCAAAAAGCUGGUACAGUCAACGGUAUUGAAAUUUAAAUUCGGAGGUGCUUACGCGAAGCUUGAGAUGCGUGGAGUCCAAAUACACAAAACUACAGUCUAAUUCUCACCGGAAAAUGUCAAAUCAAGGUGGAGAAAAACUUACUCCUGUGGCUUGGAUGAGCUGGACGCGAUUGUUCGAUGUGGAGGAGGGGUUGUCCUAAGAUUUUGGAGAGUGGGGAAGCCGAUUCUGGAAUCAAUUUGGCUAGAAAAUGCUGGCAGAUGGCUGAUCUAGUACCAGCAGCGAGAAAGAAUGUUUUCUCCUCCACUUUACUUCGAUUUUCUUUUGAGAAAGAAAAGGAAAGGUUGGUGCCGGCAAAGAAAAAGAAAAAGAGAGAAGAUGGAGUGGAAAUGCUGGGUGGUGGUGCAGGUGGCUGGAAAUGGUGAAAAUAGAGAAGAAAGUGGGGGGUGGCGUCAGAGAAGAAAGAAAGAAAAGGGAAAAAUAUAGGUCCCCAAAGCUUUCAAUUUUUCUCUUAUUCUGUUCCUACGCCUCUGUUCAAUAUUUACAAAUAUGCAGAAAUUCUCAAAAUGAAAUAUAGUUGGAUACUAAUUAAGGAAAGUUAAUUAACGUGAAAUGUUUUUCUUUUCCUUAAAUCUAGAUAUAUAUAUAUAUAUAUAUAUAUAAAUGGAUGUGCAAUUUAUCCUUUCAUAUGUAGCUGAACGUGUCCUCCUAUGUCUCGGCUACUAACACCUGAGAUAGAUGCUUCUUCCCUGGUCAAAGGUUGGCAAUUUAAUCCUUGCAGCAUGAAAAAGUUAGAAGGAACCCUUAAAAUCAUCAUGUUGAAAAUGAACAAUGUCGUUUUAAGGAUUUACCUGUCAAUUUGUCGAAAAUAAUUGCAAAUUACUAUUCUAAUCAAUUGCAAAAGACUAUUAAAAAUAAGGCUAAUCUCUUCAGCUUUAUAUAUGAUUUUCGUUUAAAUUGUUUUGCACAGUCUAAAUGAUGAAAAGAUUUCUAUCGUCCCAAAGAAUGUUGCAAACGGUAUAUUUUCCAAACAGUGGUCGCAUUGUUCCUGCAUUGCUUGGAGGGUAUUUUCUAUUCUGAUGCCUCUUUUAGGAUUAAUGCAAAGUUAGAUUAAUUUGCUUUGGGAAACCAAAUGCUGCAAACCCAAUAUAUAUGUAGUCCAAUUAAAAAUACAAGUUUAUAUGUUUACAGGAGGGACAUAAUAUUGGAUACAUGAAAAUAAAAGUAAAGAAAGUAUUAUUACAUGAUUUGCUAUCUUUAUGAUUAUGUUAUUAAUCUCUCUAAUCAUGCAAAUUAAGAUUAUUAAAUUCUCUGAUUAAGCUUUCAUAUCAACGGCUCUUAUCCAACUAAUUAAUGUAUAAUCGCAUGACAAAUUCAAUAUCAGUUUCCCUUUUCUUUUUAAUAAAAAAUAAAUAAACAUUAAAUUCUGAUAUGUAUAUUUAUAUGUUCGAUACCUUGCACGGAUAAACAUCAGAAAUUAAAAUCUAUGUUGAAAAGGGCAUGUGAAAGGCAAACCUCCAAGUGAUGCUAAAGGCAUACCUUUCUUCAUUCGUCGUUCAGUUGCUUGGAUGCCAAGCAUGGAACCCCUGACGACCCAUUUAUAUAGGGCUCCAUCAUGAUCUUAUACAGUACACUUAAUUUCCAUUGAGACAUAUACAACAAUUUUCAGAAAGAUCAAUCCAAGGCCAUAUAUAUAUAUAUAUUUUCUGUCAGAGUUAAAAAUCUGAGAUAUCAUGCCGAGGCUGCCGGGGAUAGAUGAUUCCGAUUCUGACGAUGGGUAUUCGCCUUCAACAAAAUUAUUUGGCCGUCGCAGGUCUCUUCAUGCCAUCCUUGGAAGAGGCCAUGGUAAUGAUAAUCAUUCCUCUUUUUAUUUAUUUAUAUUUAAAUGUUUCUCAUGAUUAAUUUACGUGCAAAAUUGAUUAAGAGGGUUACUUGAAUUCUUGAUGAGUGUGCAGUUGCCGAUGUAUUGUUGUGGAAAAACAAGUAUUUGUCAGCAGGAAUGCUACUUGGUUUUACAAUGAUAUGGUUCCUUUUUGAAGUUGUGGAGUAUCAUUUUAUUACUCUUCUUUGUCAUUUACUUCUGAUCUUUUUGGUCAUUCUCUUCAUCUGGUCUAACAGCGCUGGAUUCAUCAAAAGGUGAGGCUGAUAGCAAACACUUGAUAGUUUUAGUUACUUUUCUUAAUGCUUCUCUUUUUCAUUAAUUUUACAUCAAAAUAAAAAAGAAAUUCACCUGCAUCAUCCUGCAGAGGAUUUGAUCAUUUUAUUCCUAAUAAGUUGCAAUAAAUUUAUUAUUAUUAUUAUUUUUAUAACUAUUAGGGAUCCUCCUACUAUUGAUGAUAUAGAGGUGCCAGAAUCUUCAUUGAGAUUCUUCUUUGUGCAAAUCAAUUGGUUGCUAUCAAGUUUUUAUGAAAUUUCAAGUGGCAAAGAUUUGGUAACUUUCUUUUGGGUAUGUGUGCUAUUUAAUCAUCUUGUCCUGUAUUCCUUUUCAACCCUUUUCUAAAUUCUUAAUAAUCAAUUUAAUUCUUUUCAGACCAUAGUUUGUCUCUGGAUUUUAUCAGCUUUUGGGUCCUUAUGUGACACUUUGACUCUUUCAUACAUAGGUAAGAGUUCUCAUUUUCUUAACCAGUAUCGCUCUUUCCUGCAAAUGUACCAAUAAUUGGUCUGUUUUCUAUUUGUGGAAUGAAGUGUAUCUCUGCAUAGCAACACUGCCGGUUUUAUAUGAGAGAUAUGAAGAUCAGGUGGAUCGUUUUGCUGGGAAAAGUAGCCACGAUAUGAAAAGAAUAUUUGACAAAUUUAAUUCAAAAGUUCUUGACAAGAUACCAAGAGGACCAACGAAAGAGAAAAAGCAUGCCUAAAAUUAAUUUGAAAUUCAUGGUUCCCACAGUGCAAAAUGGGAUCUAAUCCAGCACAAUUUAUUCAAAUUUCCUAUUUCUUCCUGUCUUUAACUUGUGAAAGAUGUAUAUGCAAUUGUGGAUUACUCGCAAUUUCAACUUAUAGCGAGAAACAUCCUGAAGUUUAUGUAAUGUGUUGUAAUGAUAAAUGUUUGCCUUGUUUAAUUAGUAUUUUAUUUGUUUCAUCAUUGUAUAGUUGGUUGUAUAUUUGUAUAUAUCCAAAGUUUUAGGAGAGUAGAAAAUUUGGGAUAAAGAUGUAAAUAGUUAUUGAGAAUUGUAUUUAUUUUUACUUUAAUUAUAAAAUUUUAAUUUAUUUUAUUUCAAUUAAUUAACUUUAAUUUUGUUUAAAUUUAGUCAUUUUUUAAAUUAAAGUUUGACACAUAACAAAAAUAAUUAAUAAAAAUAUGUGACAUACAGUUUUUUAUUAGUAAUGUAACUAAAUUAGCAAGAUAACUAAAUUAUAACUGAAGUUAAAAUUGAAUAACUAGAAUAAAAUAAAUUAAAAUCUUAUAACUCAAAUAAAACUAAAUAUAAAUUCAGUAACUGUUUUAUAUUAUUAUCUCAGCAUAUUUACUUCUAAUUAAGGAAUAGAUGCUCAGCUAAAGCCAUACCAGCAGCAAGCUUCAUCUUGAAACAAAGGAGUCUAAUUUUAUACUUACUUUCUUAGUCAAGGAAGGAGUCAUUACAUGUUAUCUAUGUCUAUGUAUUAUAUAUGAUACCACUAAACAUUAAAACAUGAUUUUAUAGGCACUUGGGUUGAUGCAUAAUCAGUAAAUACACAUUCUUCUAGAUUUGUGAGGAUUCAUAAAUGGUGGUGGUUUACAUGUUUUAUAUAUGCACAGUGAUUAAAAUUGAUACAUGUCUGUUCAUUUUACUUUAGUUAUUGUAAUUGUUAGUUAUACUCAAACUAGGGCUGAUUACGGAUCGCUCUAAUUUAGUUAUCUAUAAAUCACCAGUAUUAUAUUAAAUCUCGAUUCUUAUAAAAUUGAAGGUAUCAGUACUGUACCAAACAUAAAUGGAUCCGUACCGCAUUGUACCAAUUUUUACGGUUAAAUAUAAUUUGGUUCGGUACUAUUUUCGGUUCUAAAAAAUUUAAAAAGUACAAUUUUAAAUCUUAUUUUUAAUCAGAUACAUUUAGAGAAAAUACGAUUACCAACCUGAAAAAAGUAGCAUGAAAAUCUGAAUUAGAAUUGCAAUCACAUUCUUGAACAACCUGUUUUGCAACUCAGUCACUUGCAAGUAUAAUAAUUCAUUAAAUGUUCAAAUACAAAUCAUUAAAAUAUAUGUUACUGCUAGCAUAAAAAUAUUUGUAAAUUUUAUGUAGCACUAAAAUACAAGUCCAAAACAUUAUAAGUGCAACAAUGAUUGUUAUAGUAUGUGGUAAGUGAAAAAGGUAUUAGGGUUUAAGGUAAUAGAUAGUAAAUUAUAAAUUUAGUAUUGUAGUAUGUGUACUAAUAUCAGUACAUUAUAUCAUAUAUUAAUAUGUAUAACUUAUAUUUUUUUAUAGAGUAUAAAAUAUAUUAUAAUAUUAUAAUUAUUUUUAAUUGGUAUUAUUUUUAUAUAUAAAUAAUUAUUAAUAAAUAUAGCUAAAAAAUUUAGCUAGAAAAUCUAAAUAAACAGCCCAAAAUAGUGAAAGUCUACAAACUAACAAACAUAAACACAAUUUGAAACAAUCCUCAAAAUUUCAACUAAAAAAUACGUACUUAAUAUAUCAAACUUUGCUUACUCGUAGGCAAUAUUAAAAAAACUAACAUAAAGCAUUGAAAUUUAGAAAUAAAAAUAAAAGUAAAAGACAAAUUAGGAAUAAAAAUAAAAAUAAAAAUAGAGAAGUAUUCUUGCACGUGGGAAACAGAAAAUUGAAUAGUGAAAAUCUCUGGAUAGUUAUUUAUACAGAUAAAAAACAUGAUACAAAAGAGGGUUUUGUUUUUUUCCUUUUCUUAUAUUUUAGUGUACGAGAAGUAUAAAGAUAAGAGUUUUAGAUAAAAAGUAAAUCUAUUUUUGUUUAUUGUCAAUCAUUAAACGCUGAGCAAAAUUGACUCAUUUUUAUGUUCUUUUCCUUUUCUUCUUAUAUAAAGAAAAUUAAGUUUUUUUUUCUUAUUUUGAUAAUAAUUGCUUGAAUUAUAUAAAAUGAUAAAUAUAAAAUAUUUUUUUUAUAGAGUAUAAAGUAUUUUAUAAUAUAAUAUUUAUUUUUAAUAGGUUUUUUUAUAUAAUAUAAAUAAUUAUUAAUAAAUAUAUGUAAAAAAUUCAAUUUUACGGUUUGGUUUGGAUCAGUACAAGACGGAUAAAUUAUGGUACGGUUUUUACUAAAUAAUCAGUACCAUACCGUAAUAGUAAAAAAUUCGAAUCAGUUCAAUUCGGUUAUAAAAAAUUUCAAUUAUUUCGGUUAUGGUAUUUUUCAAUUCGGUUAUUUAGUUCAGGCGGGAAUCACCGAGAUCCAUGCUUAACCCUAACUCAAACACCCGUAGAGAACAAGUUUUGAGUAAAAUACAAAAGUGAAAUAAGCCAAGUUUAAAGAAAUUUGAAGUUUUUAAGAGUAUCAAUACUAUCUUUUAUUUUAAAUCACAUGAUUUUUAUAAUUAAUAAUAUUUUAAAAAAAUUUAUAUAUAAAAAAUAAAAUAUUUUAUUUAAGUUUAAUAAUUUCUUUAUAUUUUAUUUUUAUUUCUAUAAAUAUUAUUAUUUUUUUAUUUUUUACUAAUAGAUAAAUAUUAAUUAAAUUAAAUGGACAUAAAUUUAUAAUGUAUUUAUUAAUUAAAAAUUAAAAAUUAAAUUUGAUUGUUUAUAUGGAUAGAGUCAAAUUGAUUUUUUAUUUUAUAUUUAAAAAAUAUAAAAUGCAUUAGAGUUUCGUAUUUAAAAAUAAAAAAUUUAGUAUAUAUAAAACAAAAAUACACCCAGUACAUGCAGAAAAUCUCUACUUUUUCAAGAACAUUUUUCUCUUCCUAUGUCCUUACCGGAAACAGGUUAUUGUCAGUACUUCUCUAACUUAGUAUCGAAGAAGACAACUAGAAAUAUUGAAGCAAAGGGUAAGGAAACAGAGAAGAGUUACAUGCUUAUUCCCUUUUCUAAAAACAAAACUCAUUAGGCUUACAAGUUCCAACCCAAAAGAAAAUAAAAUAGUGGCGUGGAAUUAAUUAUUCAGACUUAUCUCUGGGAUUUAUUUAUUUAUUCUUUCAAGCAUAUCAAAACAUCAUAUCUCCAACUUCUCCUAGCAGCAACAUUCAAGCUUUAAGCCUUCUGAUAAUAGUCUCCGUUCAAAGACGACGUUUCUGCUUCCGAGAAGUAGUGGACUGUCCUUGAUAAGAAGAGGCAGUCGAUAGCGGAGUGGAAAUAGCAGCUCCUAAUAAAGGUAGUGAAAAAAUAAAAGGCUGCCGGAAUUGUGCUGUUGCUGGUAGUGAAGAAGGGUGGAGUUGGAAAUGGGGAUGGACUGAAGGAGGUGGUACCAUAAGAGCGCCAACAUAUUGGCUGGUGCUAAACAUCCUCGUUGCAGAAGUUGGAUCCAUGGGCAUAACUGGACAAAAAUAAUGUGCUGCCGACAUACUCGAGGCUUGGCACAAGGCUCCUCCACCCAUGUUGGACAUCAUCUGGUUAACAUUAGAAACAAUGCAUUUGUAUAUGCCAUAACGCGAGAAAAUAUCAGCUGCAUAACAACAGUGUACUGAUACGUUUUAAAACUUUUAAAAAAUAUUUUUUUAUUAUUUUAAUUCAUUUUUAGAAAUUUCGAAAUUUUUUUAAAUAAGUCUUUCCGAUUUUCUAGUUUGAGAAAUUGUUUUAACUUUUUUUUUAUAGAUAAUUUUUAAUUUUUUUAAUUUUAAUAUUUCUUAUUUUUAUUUAUUUUAUAUUUAUUUCUAUGUAUAUCUUUUUCAUAUAAUUAUUUUUUAUCGAUAGUAAUUAUGUUAUUAUCAAUAUGAUCAACUAUAUUAAUUAUAUAUAAUUUAUAUAUUUUAUAAUGACAAAAUGAUGUAGAAAAUCUAAAAUAGUAUACAUAAUAUAUAUAACUUAUGUUGUUAAUAUUUUAUUAUUAGUUAAUAUUUAAUAUGUGAUCAAUAGGAGUUUUACGAGUGGUAGAACACUGUCUCGAUAAUUUUAAUAUGAUUUAAUUUUAAAAAUUUAAUUAAAUUAAAAUAAAUUUUUAUUAUAUUAUCUAUCCGCUUUUAAAUAUACUAUUAUUAUUUUUAAAAUGUAAUGAUAUGUAUAUAUAUUGUUGAUUUAAAAUCUAUUUAUUAAUGGGAAGGAGAACACAUGACAGUACAAUUAUAUAUAUAUUUUUAAACUUGCCAUAUAUACUAUUAACUCUUGAAGAAAAGCACUAUAACUAGAGAUUACUUCAACUUGAAGCUUUAAGGCUUUGAGAUAGUCGAUGGCUGCUUCCAACAGCGAAGCGGUGUCUUGCUAAAAUAUAUAUAGGAGAAAGCAGAGAUCAUACAGAAUGCAUUACUCAAUAAAAUGUUCUAUGUAUGCAUAUGCCUAUUUUUCUGGGAAAUUUCGGAAUCUUAGUAGAAAGAAAUAAAAUAAAGUGGGCUUUUGAGAGUGUUGAGCCAAAUCAUAUUAGUAACAUGACAUAAUAAAUUAUGAAGAAUAGAGAGAGAGAGA